rnacentral:lncRNA from 1 species
UGGGGAUUUUGAAGCCAAGUAUGACAAAUAUGAUGUUGUUCUGUUAAAUUCAAUGCUUUGUGCCUACUGCAGAACUGGUGAUAUGGAGAGUGUAAUGCAUGUCAUGAGGAAAUUGGACGAAUUAGCAAUUAGUCCCGAUUACAAUACCUUUCACAUUCUAAUCAAAUAUUUCCGCAAGGAGAAGAUGUAUAUGCUUGCUUAUCGGACAAUGGUGGACAUGCAUAAGAAAGGCCACCAACCUGAGGAGGUACAUCACAUAAAUUUAUUACUCCUUGUCAAGGAUUUACUCUAGUCCCUUGCAAUUCUAGAGGCCUUCGUUACUACUGUGAUUUUAGAUAAUAAAAGUGGUCAUAAACAAAUGAACUUUCACUUUGGGACUGCAACGCGAAAGACUUAUCACAUAUAUGCUGUUUUGCAGGAACUCUGCUCCUCCCUAAUUUUUCAUCUUGGUAAAAUGAGAGCACACUCAGAAGCUCUCUGUUUACAACAUGUUAAAGAUAUAGCAAAAGAUCGAUGUGCAAUGCCCUUCAUGAGAAAAUUCUUCAUAUUUUAAUAUCCGAAAAGCUCCUCAAAGAUGCUUAUGUAGUAGUUAAGGUCUGCUAUAUUGUCUUACCAUUUUAGAUCGAUUCUUCAACUGUCCUUUAUAUGCUUUUCAACCUAAGUUACUCUCUUUUCAGGACAAUUCGGAGUCAAUUUCUCAUCCUGCUAUUAAGAAGUUUGCAUCUGCAUUUGUGAGGUUAGGAAAUAUUAACUUGGUUAAUGAUGUAAUGAAGGCAAUCCACGCAACUGGCUACAGGAUUGAUCAAGUAAGCAAUCAAGGAUUUGUAAAGCAAACACAAGCUCGCAUGCGUGCGCGCGCACGCGCGCGCACACACACACACACACAAGUAGAAGUAAUAAUUUAGAAACGCCCUGUAAUUCCUUUUCUUCUAUUAUCUCAGGGAAUAUUUCAUAUAGCAAUAGCACGAUAUAUAGCAGAGCGUGAGAAGAAGGAAUUGCUGCUCAAGUUGCUAGAAUGGAUGACGGGUCAAGGUUAUGUUGUUGAUUCAUCAACAAGAAACCUGAUACUCAAAAACUCACACUUAGCGUGAGAAGAAGGAAUUGCUGCUCAAGCUGCUAGAAUGGAUGACGGGUCAAGGUUAUGUUGUUGAUUCAUCAACAAGAAACCUGAUACUCAAAAACUCACACUUAUUCGGACGGCAACUCAUUGCUGAUAUACUGUCCAAGCAACAUAUGAAGUCAAAAUCGUCAAGAACUCUGAAAGAAUGAGCAAUUUGAUAUUAAUUAAUGCUGGAGUUCUAGAUAAAGAAAUGAAUAUGGCUUACGGUUUACCCUAUCAUACUAUAAGCUAGCAUGUCUCUGUUAUGUGUUAAAAGUUAAAACUCUAAUAUUUUACUACAUAGAGCGGUUAAUCAAAAAAUAAAAGAAAAAAAGGGGGUGGCCCCCGCGCGGGGGCUGCUGUACGGCCAAGGCUUUGGAAAUAGAGGUGGCCAAUGGGCCGAACGGCACGAGGCACGGCAUGUGUCCGUACAGUACGGUACGGCACGAGCACGUUUUGGUAAAGCACGCGGCACGGCACGCACGUGGGCCAUGCCGGACUUAGAUUUUAGGCACGUGGACCUUAAAAGCACGACAUGAUUAGAGAUUGGUCAAAGCACGGCACGCGAAAAAGUACGCAAUAAAUACGUUUUAUUUUUUAAUGAAAGUAAACUUAAAAUUUUAUGAUUUUAUAAAUAACUUGAAAUUGAAUCUUUUAAUAUAUUUUAUUGGCUCAAGUUUUUUAAAUUUAUUUAAUUCUUAGUUUCAAAAAAAUUAUAAUUAAUUUAUAUUUAUAAUUUAUUAAAUAAAUAAUUGAUAUCAUGAUUUUAAUAAAUAAAAUUAUAAAUAUCAUGAUUUUAUAAAUAUGUAUUAAUAUUAUUAUAAAUUAUAAUAUAUGACUCUACGUAACUCCAAGUUAACAAUUAAGUUAACCCUUAAAAAAAAUUAUUAUUAUUGUUAUUGUUAUGUGCUAAAAAAAAAUUAUAAUACCAUAGAGUCAAACUUAGCAACUAAUAUUACAUUCUCUUAUUAUUAUUAAUUUAUAUGAAUCCAAAAAAAGCACAUAAGAUUGAAAAAAAUAAGAUAACAACUUGGCAUGCGCUCUUAAAAAAAUAAAAAAAGGAAAAAAAGUUUAGUUGGCUAUUUUUCCUAGGUACGGCACGAGUGGGCACGAGCACGAGCACGAGCACGAGCACGUGUGGGCAUGGCACGUUUGCGAAGCUGGCACGACACGGCACGAGCACGAGCACGAGCACACGUGGCUUCCUUUACCGGCCCAGGCCCGUUAGCCAUCUCUACUUGGAAAAUAUGAAUUUACCCUUCAUCUUCAAGCUCCCAAGGCCUGCAACGUAGGUCUUUAACUUGCAAAAGACAGUUUAUUGCUACGCGCAAGUUAGCAUUUGGUUCAUGAGAAAAUUUGUCAAUAAAGUGUAAUGAAGCUGUACCAGAGUUGUAGCAAGAAUGUUUCUCUAGAGACCUACCUAUCGUCUUCUCUUUCUCUCCUUGGAUGGGAGAGUGUUUGGAUUCACUUAUUUUUUUUAGUUUUUAAUUUUUUUAUUUUUCUGGUAGAGUCGCUUGGAUCCCCUUAUUAAUCAUCUUAAAUCUGGAUUUAUGGUCCCAAUUAGUUUGACACUUCUAUUUGUAACUGCCAUAUCAAGUAAGUUAUUAAUCAUUACACAGAAAAUUGAAGCACUGAGAUCCCCAGUGUUAAUAUUCUAAAUAGAGUUGUUGCUAAGAUUACUAUCGCUAGCUUGCAAUUAAUUCAGCUUAAGUUGUCAAUUUCCUACAAGCAAAAAAGAUGGUCAUUGAGCGUACUUGUAAGGAUACUGACACCUCUGUAAAGGAAAUUGGAGACCCCCAUAUUUUCUAAAAAAGGAUACAGACCUCUUUUUGGACAUACAAAAGAGUUUGUUUAGACAAACUUGGGGGUUCAACGUGAGACGGUGAUUGUUUUUUAACACAAAAGAUAUUUAAAAAAGUACGUCCCGAAUAAUUGCUAUUUGUGGAUGCUCGUCCUACACGUUUACAAGAAAUUGUUAGAAGUUUUAGGAAAGGACGAAAUCUCUAGUCAUAAGAGAGCAUUGCCAUUUAUGGAUCAAUGUCCACAUUUAGAGGUUCAACUCAGAACGACACUUUAGGCUCUUAUAAUUUCAGUAUUUAUUUUAUAAUUUAUUGAUUUCAUCAAUCAUUCUAGGAAUUCCAGGCUUUGAGUCGCAAAUGUAAUCUCAAUUGUGUGACGGUGUCAUGAAAACUUUUAUUUUUUUUCUAUAAUUGGGAGGAGAUAAUUUUUCUCACCUACAAGACUCGUGAUAAUAAAGAUACCAAAAUGUACAUUAUUAGUCAAAUGUAUUUUUAUUAUUGAUCAAUAUGAAGAUCAACAAGUGAUGUUUUACUUGAAUUAGAAGAAAUUAGUGAAGAUUCUAAAAUAAAUAGUGAAAUGGAAAUAGAACCUAAAUUUUAUGAAAAAUGUAUAGCUCGUUGUAAAAGAACAAAUUUGGUGAAAAUAUUAGUGAAGAGGAAAUUUUGCCUCUCAAAGAGUCUUUUAGAAUUAAUUAUUUUAUAUACAUAAUAGAUCAAGCCAUCUCUUCAAUAAUAAUAUAUUUAAAUAAUUUCAAAUGUAUGAUAAUUUAUUUGAGUUUUUGUAUAAUUUCAAAAAAUUACAACUGUUAAGUGAUUAUGUUUUAAAAACUUAUUGUUUUAAUCUUGAAAAUACUUUAAAACAUGAUACACUUUUUGAUAUAGAUAGUUUAGAUUUGUUUUGAGAGUUGAGAAUUUUAAACAAGUUUUUCAAGGUGAAAAAAUACUGCUUAAUUAUUUGAAAAAAAAAUUGAUUCUUUUCCAAAUGCAUAUAUUACUUAUAGAAUAUUAUUAACAAUAUUAAUAACAAUUGCUUCUGUAGAAAGAAGUUUUUCAAAAUUAAAAUUGAUAAAAUAUUAUUUAAGAUUAACAUUGAUACAAGAAGAUUAAAUGAACUAGCUAUAUUGUUUAUUGAGAAAAAUAUAUUAACAAAAUUAGAAUAUAAAAAUUUGAUCAAUAAUUUUGCAUCUCAAAAAAUUAAAAAAUUUGAUUUUAAAUAAAUAAAUUUUAGUAAAAUUAAUACAUGUAUUUGACCUUAAAUUUUUUGAAAAGUCUAAUUGAAACAAUUCCCCUAAAAACCCAUAAUUGAUUGAGCCGUUACUGUCUACAAGACUCUAAAAAUAAAGACACCAAAAUGUACAUUGUUAGUCACAUGUAUUUCUAUUAUUUUCAUUUUUCAUGAAACUUCUCAAGUUGUGAUUUGAUGGUUAAUAAUUUGCUUCAUCUUGUGUCAAAAAAGAGAGGCUCCCCGAACAAGCCCACACCAACUAGUCUAAUUUUGUAUGCGCAUGUGCUUAUGAAUUGCACAUUGAUGUAGUAUGUUAUCAUGCUGUCAAAAAGGAGAGGCCCACACCAACUAGUCUAAUUUUGUAUCUUGUGUCAAAAAAGAGAGGCUCCCCGAACAAGCCCACACCAACUAGUCUAAUUUUGUAUGCGCAUGUGCUUAUGAAUUGCACAUUGAUGUAGUAUGUUAUCAUGCUGUCAAAAAGGAGAGGCUCUGACUCCCUGACAGGCCAAUACCGACUAGACUAAUUUUUCAUACGCAUGUGGCUCAUGCACAGCACUACAGUGUAAUGCAGCAAAAUUAAGAAGAAAAAAAAUGAAAUAUGUUGUCUCUCUUUUAUGAGAAAUUCUAGAAUAUGUGUAUUUAAAUUUUUUAUAACCAUUAAUUAUAUAUCAGUUCUUUUAAAUAAAUGUAUUUAUAUUAUAAAAUUAUUUAUUUAUUAUAUUAAUGACAUAAUAUCUGAAAGGUAUUUUAAAAUUUCUUUUCUAUCCUUCUUGUCAUUUUUUACUAUUAGUCAAUGCAGUGGCAUUUUACAAGCUGAUAUGGUGCCUCACAGAAACUUUUUUGUUUUGAGUUUGAUGAUCCUUAGGAAAUGGCACAAAUAUCUCUUCUAAUGGUAUUUUACAGGCUGUUGAUGAAAAGUAGCAUGUGUUUUGGAAGACUAAUGGUAUUUGUAUUUUGUUUGCAAAUUCUAGUAAAGUCGGGCUACACAAGAUUUUUGAAUAAAAACUUGUUUAAUCUCUAUAUUUUGAGGUUAAUGUCUUUUUAGUCACUAUAUUUUUAGAAGUGUUUCAAAAUAUCCCUAUUAUUAAAUUAUUGACAUCCUGCCGUUAUUUUUUGUUCUUUUUCGCUUGCUUUUAUAUACUACCCUCUAACAAUAAUGUUUAUUUUUUGGAUAUUAAUAAAAAAAAAAUUAAAUUAUCCAUUUAAUCCCAAAAAAUUAAUGUUGAAUACUCUACUGAGGAGUUACUAUAUUAAUUUUUUUAUUAAUGUCCAAAAAAAUUAGUAAUUUUUUUUACAAUAUUAAUUUUUUUUGACAUACAUGAGCUUCUAGAAAAAUUAAUAUGUACUUUAUUUUUAGGGUUAAAUUGAUAAUUUAAUUUUUCAUUUUUAUUAAUGUUAAAAAAAAUUAUUGUAAGAGAAUAAUAUUAUAAAAGAAAGAUAAAAGAAACAAAAAAUAACGGUAGAGUAUCAAUAUUUUAACGGCAGGGAACUUUAAGGUAUUUUUAAAAACAUAGGGAUUAAAAAAUAUACAAAACUCAAAAUAUAGAGAUUAAAAGACCUUUUAAGCAUUCUUUUUGGUGCUCUAUGACUCUUAUGGAAAUAAUUUCGUUGAUUAUUAAACACAUGCUUCUACACGUUUUUGUUCACUGUGACUAUUAUAAAAAAAUGAGUAAUGAUAUAGCCACAAACUCUUGUACAAACUGAUGUGGCAUGAUAAGAUUGGUUGAAUUAAAUAUUACUUGGCCCACAUGAUUUGUUUUUAUUAUUUUAUAUUUUUAUUCAGCCAAUGAAUUAAUGACACAUCAGUUUGUACAAAAUAAAUUUGUACAAGAGUUUGUGGCUGUAUCAUCACUCUAAAAAAAUAUCGACAUCGUUGAUUAUUGUAAACACAUGCAUUAGCAAGUUAGAAUUCCCUCAUGAAAAAGUAUGACUAUUUUUUGCCUCCAGAUUUGGGUUCAUAGUUUUGAUACAUACAUUUGCAGUAUAAUUUUGAGUAGACAUCUACCUGCCCAGUCUACUUUUUGUUGAUAAUUAUUUUGAAAUUUAUUAAUUUGUUAUCCGCAAACGUACUUUAUAACUGUAACAAAUAGAAUUUCGAUGUUAGUCCUCAACAUUAAGAUAUUGUUUGCAACUUUUUGUUCCUUUUUUUUUUUUCCUUAAACUUACUUUGUGUAAUCUUAUUUCCGCAUAAAACAAGAUUUUAAUGUAAUAAAUAGAACUUUUAUUAGUAGAAUUGAAUUUAUGAAUUUCUUGUCAUUUCUGCGUGCAUUUAUUGUGUAGUUUAUGGAAAGACUCUUUAAAAAAUUUGUAUGCAGGAAAAAAAGAAAAAGAAAAAAUAAGUAAAUCAUCCGAAUGUGUAUGUAUGUGUCUUCUGGCACAAAAUUGACCUCGUUCGCACAGUAUGAUGUACUCCUUUUCUGCCUAUAUAUAUGUAUAUUUAUAUAUAUAUAUAACCUCGUGUAUCACCACAAACCACAGAAUAAUUUGAGAAUCUUUGCCAAGUAUAACUGUAAGCUAGCUUACACUACAUCUGUAUAUCCAAUGUCUUCUUGCAUUAAUCCCUCAACCUUGGUUACCUCUAUAAAUGGUUUCAAAUGUCUUCCUCUUGCAACAAAUAAAGCAGCCAUCAGAAUCAUGGCCAAAAAUAAGCCAGUCCAAUGCCUUGUCAGCGCCAAAUAUGAUAAUUUGACAGUUGAUAGGAGAUCAGCAAACUACCAACCUUCAAUUUGGGACCAUGAUUUUUUGCAGUCAUUGAAUAGCAACUAUACGGUAUUCAGUAUUAUUAUUAUUAUUAUUAUUAAUUUCCUUUGUUCAUUUCAAAUUGGCACCAUGAAUAACUAAAAACUAAAUGCUGUGCAUGUACAGGAUCAAACAUACAGAAGACGAGCAGAAGAGCUGAAGGGAAAAGUGAAGACAGCGAUUAAGGAUGUAACCGAGCCUCUGGAUCAGUUGGAGCUGAUUGACAACUUGCAAAGACUUGGAUUGGCUUAUCAUUUUGAGACUGAGAUUCGAAACAUAUUGCAUAAUAUCUACAACAAUAAUAAAGAUUAUAUUUGGAGAAAAGCAAAUCUGUAUGCAACCUCCCUUGAAUUCAGACUACUUAGACAACAUGGCUAUCCUGUUUCUCAAGGUACCUUUCAUUAAUUCGCUUACUUUGCCAUGCACAUGCAAGAUCCGAAUACUUGAAUCGAUCUCUCUGUUUAUCUUAUUUAUUUUUUUUAAAUUUAAAAAGGUGGACAAAACCCAAAUCAAUUUUUUAACUCUCUAUCUCCUGAGAAAUUCGAACUCGACAAGGCCGCUGGGGACACUGAAAUCAUUCUCUAAUUAACAUAUAUGUGCAAAAGUUUUGAUGAAUAUAAUUUUUUUUUUCUGUUGAGCACUGCAGAGGUUUUCAGUGGUUUUAAAGACGACAAGGGAGGCUUCAUUUGUGAUGAUUUCAAGGGAAUACUGAGCUUGCAUGAAGCCUCGUAUUACAGCUUAGAAGGAGAAAGCAUCAUGGAGGAGGCCUGGCAAUUCACCAGUAAGCAUCUUAAAGAAACGAUGAUCAUCAGCAACAGCAAGGAAGAGUAUGUAUUUGUAGCAGAACAAGCGAAGCGUGCGCUGGAGCUCCCUCUGCAUUGGAAAGUGCCAACGUUGGAGGCAAGGUGGUUCAUACACGUUUAUGAGAAAAGAGAGGACAAGAACCACCUUUUACUUGAGCUCGCUAAGUUGGAGUUUAACACUUUGCAGGCAAUUUACCAGGAAGAACUUAAAGACAUUUCAGGGUAUCUAUGCCUUGAUUGCAUAACUCAUAUAUAUUCCAAAGAUUUGAUUUUAUCGAAUAGAUAACUUGUACUAUUUAAUCAUAUGUAUAUUAAAUUAUUCUCAAGUGCAGACUCCGCCUUUUACAGCAGUAUAAAGGCACCAGCCUACACUUUAUAUAAAUGUAUAUUAAAUUAUUCCAAACGUUUGCAUUAAAGAAUCUCGAACUAGAAGAUGACUCUACAUGUAAAUGCAUUGUAAAGCCACAAGUCAUGUGCUUUAUAAAAAGAGAUGCUUGUAUCAGAGAAAUAUUCUUCAGAAUUCCAGACAGAAAGCUGAUUCUAUAUAUACAGAUAUAUAAAACAUGUGUCGUAAUAUUCGUUUUAAUUUUCCUGUGAAGAUGGUGGAAGGAUACAGGUCUUGGAGAGAAAUUGAGCUUUGCGAGGAACAGGUUGGUAGCGUCCUUCUUAUGGAGCAUGGGGAUCGCGUUUGAGCCUCAAUUCGCCUACUGCAGGAGAGUGCUCACAAUCUCGAUAGCCCUAAUUACAGUGAUUGAUGACAUUUAUGAUGUCUAUGGAACAUUGGAUGAACUUGAGAUAUUCACUGAUGCUGUUGCGAGGUUUGUUGGCAAAUUAACAAUUCAACUGCUACUUAGCUGCAUGGUACUUCUCAAUUUAAUAGACCGUUUAUGUGAUUUUUUUUUUUUUUCUGCAGGUGGGACAUCAAUUAUGCUUUGAAGCACCUUCCGGGAUAUAUGAAAAUGUGUUUUCUUGCGCUUUACAACUUUGUUAAUGAAUUUGCUUAUUACGUUCUCAAACAACAGGAUUUUGAUAUGCUUCUGAGCAUAAAAAAUGCAGUACGUGAAAUAUUAAUUUGACCUCUCUCCCUGUUCCUUUCCUCUGAUUUAUCCUUUUUAAAUUACGAUGUUCUUUUUUUCUCAAAAAUUAUAAACCGUAACUAGUUGUAUAUUUUCUGUGCCAUGUGCAUCAGUGGCUUGGCUUAAUACAAGCCUACUUGGUGGAGGCGAAAUGGUACCAUAGCAAGUACACACCGAAACUGGAAGAAUACUUGGAAAAUGGAUUGGUGUCAAUAACGGGCCCUUUAAUUAUAGCGAUUUCAUAUCUUUCUGGUACAAAUCCAAUCAUUAAGAAGGAACUGGAAUUUCUAGAAAGUAAUCCAGAUAUAGUUCACUGGUCAUCCAAGAUUUUCCGUCUGCAAGAUGAUUUGGGAACUUCAUCGGUAUGUCUUUUUUUAUUUAUUUUUUUUAAGACGACAGAAAUUGAAUUGAUCCUCUAUAUAUGAAUUGAUUGUAUUUUUUUUUUCCCCGAUAAUCAUCAGGACGAGAUACAGAGAGGGGAUGUACCGAAAUCAAUCCAGUGUUACAUGCAUGAAACUGGUGCCUCGGAGGAAGUUGCUCGUGAGCACAUCAAGGAUAUGAUGAGACAGAUGUGGAAGAAGGUGAAUGCAUACACAGCGGAUAAAGACUCUCCCUUGACUCGAACAACUACUGAGUUCCUCUUGAAUCUUGUGAGAAUGUCCCAUUUUAUGUAUCUACAUGGAGAUGGGCAUGGUGUUCAAAACCAAGAGACUAUCGAUGUCGGUUUUACAUUGCUUUUUCAGCCCAUUCCCUUGGAGGACAAAGACAUGGCUUUCACAGCAUCUCCUGGCACCAAAGGCUGAUGAUGAAUUAUAAUGCACGAUGCGUUGCGAAUUCCCAGAGAGUGCAGUUUCAGUUGAUGUUGGCCUCCGCUUUUCUUUCUUCUGAGGGAUCUCUUUUCGAUAAUAAAAUAAAUUCCCUCAUUCAUCAAGGUUUAUAAAUGAAAAAGAAAUGAUAUAUACAUAUAUGUUACUUUUAUUGAGAAUAAAAGUCUUCAGGAUAUGCAAAUACUUAAGUCAGGCUCAUUCUAAUUCCUACAAGAUAAUUAUUUGCUAGCUAAAACAUGAGAACGACUGAAUUUGUUCUGCAUGCAGUUAUACUUGAUUAUUCAAGGAUGGUUCAUAGCAUUUUUAGCACAAGGGAUACUUAUCAGUAUCCAUGCAUACGGCAAAUCAUACUCAUGAAAAAUGGCAAUGUGCAGCUAACAGUGACAAACGCAACCCGCAGUCUGUUAAAUGAGGAUAGAAAUAAGAGCGGUGGCAUUUAAAGAAAAAAGUUACAAGAAUCAAAAAGUAAAUAUAACCAAUUAAAAAAAAAUGAGUUCCUAAUGUGAGGAAAGAUUGAAAUGGAGAAAAACCCUAAUCCACCUAUGGCUGACGACCGUUCCACAAAGAAAGCAGAUUUAAGGCUCAAGGGGAAGAUGGUGACAAUCCUCAGCCUCCUUCCUUUCGUGAUAAACUGAUGUCAACACAAAGGGUGGAUGAAGGAGUGUUUUUUGAUAGCGGGGAAUAUUUGGCAGUUGAACCGGAAGGUGUGGUUUUUGAGUGUGCAGACAAUUUUCACUCCAUUUCUUUUUCACAGAAAAGUACAUGCUCAACUAAUGAAACCAUGGCAAUACACGGUGGUGGUCAAGCUUUUGGGUCUUCGCAUAGGUUACCGGACGCUGUGCAACCGCUUGGAAACCAUCUGGAGCUCGACCCAAGGGUUUUCUGUAAUUGACCUUGAGAAUGAUUAUUAUCUUGUUCGUUUCAGAACAGAGAGGGAUGUGGAGUUCGCUUUGACGCAAGGCCCUUGGACUAUUCUGGGGCACUAUCUAACAGUGAAGCCAUGGACUCCCCAUUUUGAUAUUUCGGCAGCAGUGAUUGAAUAUGUUAUAGCCUGGAUCCGCUUACCAGGCAUGGCCCUACAUUACUACAAUAAGAAAAUUCUCCGAAUGUUGGGACAAAUUUUCGGGAGAGUUUCUAAAAUUGAUUACAACACUGAAUCCGCAUCCAGAGGCAAAUUUGCUCAUCUUGCUGUUGAAAUUGAUCCGAACAAGCCCUUAAUUUCUCAAUUUUUACUCGAUGGCAAGCUACAGAAGGUGGAAUAUGAAGGACUCCCUAAUAUUUCCUUCCUAUGUGGUAAAUAUGGCCAUAGCAAGGACAUCUGCCCUAAUCGAACGGAAGAAGAUCAUGCCUUAGGAAACCAGCCACAUCUGGACGGAGCUAACGAAUCUGUUGAAAUGAACUCAAACUGGGUAAACGAUUUGUCGUUUAGAGGUUUGGAAAGUCAAGUGACAUGUUGUUUCAAUUGGUCAUGGAUCCAGAACCGACAACUUGGUGCUGUCGUCCAGGAUCAUUAAACUCUCACGUGAUUAACAUAAGCGUGUUUUAAAGCUUAAACGGCAUGCCUUAUCGUCGUUUAAGGGAGGCUUUAAGUUGCACGUGAAAGGCUCGUGGUCAAGCAAUUAAGUUUGUUAGUUUUGGAGGGAAUCUUCUAGAUCUGUAACGCCAGUAGCAGCUGAUAUAUAUGUUGGUUAUGAUUUCAUCUAGAUCUAUCGAAUUGAGAAUGAUAAGGAAGCCUUAGAGAGAGUGGAACUUUUCUGAGUGUUCUCUGUAUUGGGCUUAUCAUCUCUGUAACCUUUGAAGCUUAAUAAAGUGGCUCCCUGAGUUUGUUUUCUCCAGUGGAUGUAGGCACUGUAACAGGUUCUGAACCACUUAAAUUGUUCUGUGUUUUUUAUUCUUUGUGUUGUUAUUCUUUGAUCUGGUGAGUGUUACGACUUGUGUUGAUUUGUUAAUUUAUUCUUACUAAUAAAUCUCAAGAUAGACAAUCAUUAUUCAUACUCCAACUAAAUCCUUACAUAAAACAUCUGAAAUAAAGCCUCCAAAGAAAAAUCUCUAAUUCAAAAUAAAAAGUCUAGCCAAAUUAAAUCUUUAAAGCAACUCCAAAGAUCCACUAAGAAAAAUUCUCCACCUAAGCACCCAAGCCACAUUUCUAAUCAAUCUGCAAAAUAUUGGAGACGAGGGGUGAGUCGUCAACUCGGUAAGCAAAUCCAUGCACAAUAUUUGAAAACCUUUGUCAUAUACCUUUAAACAUUUUAUAACAACAUCUUCAUUUAGCAUAAGAGGUGGAUUUAUGUAAAAACAUUAAAAAUAUUAAAACAUUCAUAAAAAAAAUUAAAACAUAAACAUUUGGUAGCUCAUGCCUCGUAGUCAUCAUCAUUCAUCAUUCAUCAUUCACCAUUCACCAUUCAUCAUUCAUCAUUUAGGGUGUUAUACCCCGCAUUAUUCCUCAUUCAGGGUACUACACCCCGCAUUGUUCAUAAUAUCCUUGUGCACAAGAUCAUCAUCAUACCAGCAAGCUGGCCAUAACAUUACAUAACAUCAUAACAUUUGCAUUGUAUACAUUACUAUGGACUAUGAGCCAAAACAUUUUUGAAUCCACCUUACAUUCUUUCAUAAAUAGCAUUUAAAGUUUUAUAAAACAUUUAAGAACAUUUCUUUGAUCAUUUAAUUCUUUUAGAAAAUUCUUUAAGAAAACAUUUUGUUUAAGAAAAUUAAUUUCUUAAGAAAAAUUCAUUUUAAAAAAUAUUUUUAUAAAUUCAUUUAAAAGUGUUUUUAUUUUACAAAAUUUAUUUAAAUAUUUUAGAAAUCAAUUUUGUAAAAAUCUCCAUUUAAACAUAAUUCCUAUAACAUAAAUCGCAUUUAUUAUAAAGCACAUCAUGCAUGAAUCUACUUACCUCGAUCCACAACAAUAAACUCAAUACCUUAAGAACAAACCAACGAGCUCACCCAUGUCCUAUAAUCAUCAUAAAAAUAUCUUUAUCAAUAUCAUCUCUAACCUUAAACAUAAUUUCAAUCAUCCUUAAUUCAUAGGCACUUAUACUAGCUCAAUACUUAUUCAUAAUCUAGACAUAAGUAUGAGUAUCUUGCACAUGCUGAUUUUUAAUAACCUAUACACAUGUCGGAAAACCAUGAAAAUUUACAGAGGCACUGUGAACAUGCAUAGCAUUGCAUACAAUAUUUCACAAAGAUCAACACAAGUCAAAAUCGAGUCAGAAUAUUGACCUUUCCCCAAAGUAACAAAACUGUCCAGCAUUGACCAAAACAAACCUUUACCACUUAGGAAAUUCAUAAAAUAUUCUUUAGUAAUCGAAAUAAUAUGUUUCUUUUUUUCUAAUUACAGAAGACACAUUCAGAAAGCAUAUAAUUAAAAUUCAUAAUUUUUGGACUCCUGAAAAUAUUUUAAAACGUUUUAUUUUCCGAAAACAUCUAACCUGUCCAGAAAAUUCCAGAUUUGAAAACAGAAUUUCAUUGUAAAAUCCUAACAUGGCAUGUAACAUUCAUAAAUUAGCCCGACUGUUACAUGUUUCAGCUUCUGCAAUUUUGGAAAACAGUUUCCAGAUUUGCAGCAGCCACAUGUUAUGAUUUUUAAUAAUUUAACCAUAAAGAAUAAAACUACGAAAUUAAACAUGCAACCAUAGGAGACAUAGAUCUGUUGAUACAAAAAUCGCCAUAAUUUUUAAGGAUGUGUAACUUUACAGAAAAAUUUCCAAAAUUAAGAACCACUGCUGAAAAUCAGAAUUUUCCAGCACCAAUAACCUAACUUCGAAAACCCAUAACAAUUUGCAUACUCAGACGAUUUCAACACAAAACCUAUCAAUGGAAAGCUUAGGAUGUCUAGUUCCAUGAUAUGUAAGCAUAUUCAUUUGAUUCUAAGUAAAGAAAAUGAUUUCAAGCAAGGAAUAGAUACUAUUCAUAUCAUCACAACAUUACAAAUACACAUAUAUUACCCAAAUCAUACUACAAGUAAUUAAAGGCAAACAAUUUAUAAAAAUAAAUCAUAUAAGUCAAAGAAAUACUUAAUACCUUAAGGCAAACACUAAGAAAAGAAGUUAUAAAACUUUCUUUUCCUACUCCAAAGACUUAUGUUUCUUUUUCUUUUUUUUCUAAGGUUUGUAACGGUGUAAAAAAAUAAAAGACGGCUUCUUAAAAAGAUGGCUUCCUCUUAAAUACUUGGUAAUUAUUAAAUUUUUUUUAUUUAUAAAAACUAACAACUUACGUAAUUUAUUUAAAGCAAUUUGAUAAAUUUUACUCACACACAAACACUCAAUAAUAACUAUCCUACUCAAUUUAAUAAGGGUAAAAAAAAAAAAAAUAAAUAAAAGUGGGCGUUACAUUUGGUCCCUGGAUGGUUGUGGCUAGAAAAGGCAGGUCUCGUGUAGAAAAGGCAAAAGAACUCACCUGGGAUUCUGAACGUGAUCAGCGGGAGUAUUGUGGAAAGCAAUCACGCUUCGAUGUCCUAGCUAGCGUUGAUGAUGAGAUUUCUAACCAUGGCUUGAAUAAGGAAUCUUUGGAUACCAAGAGUAUCCAUAUGCCAACUCACGAAGAAAGUAACCGGCCUUUCCCUUCCAAUAAUAAACAAAAGAAAACAAAAAGCUCGACCCACUUCUCUAACCAUACACGUGAGGACACCUCCAAACAUGGCCUUCCUAUGGUCCACCAUCCUAUAGCCUCUAGCUCAAAACACAUGCACUCCCCUGGCUUCCUACAUAAUAAAACCAAGGCCCAUGCAAACCAUGCAAACCAUGCACAUCUUUUGUCUAAUCUCCCAAAGCCAACCGUUGUACCCACAAAACUCAAUCCUACGAACCACUCUGCCAUCUCUUUCCUCCCUGAAACGAACACUAUUAACCUUCAUGUUGGUACCAAUCCUGGUGAGCCCAUGUUGGCUAAUCCGAACAUGGACGAUUUAGGCCAACUCUCCAAACCAAUUGGAGAUCCCCCUGAUGGUAAGUUCUUGGUUGACCAGACGGAUAUGGAGGAUGAUGAAGAAGAUGUUGGAGAAAAAUUAGUUUUUUAAAUUAAAAAAAAAACUUUCUAGGGUCGAUCUCAUACAAUAUAUAAGAAUUUGUAAUCUAGAAAUCGUAUCUUGAAAAUCUGAGAAGAUGAACAAUCCUUGCUUUUUCCGCUGACGUGAAACUACUCUACCUUAUUUUGGGAGAAAAUAAGCCCUUUUAUAUCUCUAUCUAGUGGAAACCCUAGACUCUAUUUUUUUAAUAUUAUUUUAUUCUAUUAAAUCAAGUUUGAUUUAAAUUAAAAAUAAUAAACCAAAGGUAACGUUACUUCUUUCUUGUCAUAAGGGCCCACCUUGUAAAAUAACACAAGGCUCCUUAGCCACAAGUACAUUACAUGGAGCCGCUCAUUAAAUAAUAUAUUUAGGUUUUUAACCCAAAUAGUUAGUUGUCUUGCUUAUUAAUCCAGUAGUGGCGCAGUCAAUUAAAUGAGCUAACACAUGGAUCAUUUGGGAACAAACAAUAGUGGCUAUAAUAAUUAGGUUUGUAAUUAAACUAGCCCAAUUAUUUAAUUCCAAAUCUACUCCACUAAAAGAUUGGAACUGACCUCCAUAAUUGUAUGCUCGAAUAAUAAUUCAUCCCAAGCCACAUUGAUUUCUUUACUGCAUAAUCCUUUGUACCACAUCGUUAAUUAAAUCGAUAUCUCAACUGUCCAAUCGAUUUAACUACAUCUUAUUACUUAAUACUUACUGGUUUUCUCUAAUGAUAAUUUUCAACAUACUAAAUAUGUUGAUACACUCUGGCCAGAGAAUUCUAUGAUCAAGUGCCGAAAACCCAUCAAGAGAUGUGUUGUACAAAUUCUAUAUUAUUAAUCUAUAACUCCAAUACUCAUAAUUCCUCCCACCAAGAAACCGGGUAAUCUUGACCACAAUUGUGUGUCGUGCCCAUUGGUAACUCAAAUGGAAUAACAAUUACAAUCAUGAACCUAAAUAAAGUGCCCAACUUUAUUUAUCAACUGUGAACUAAAUUUAUUUAAUCAUAAGAUAACUUGUAUUUAUGUCUUCUGUGAAUCCACAUGGUGAUCACAUAAAUACAUAUAAUAUGAUUAAAUGGACUUUAAUACAAAUAUUAAUGCAAUUAAGAUAUUUGAAUAAAAUACCUCAUUUAUUUUAUUAAUCAGAAAAAUUGUUUAUUACAGUUAAAUAAACACAUAUGCUUUUAAAGAGCAUAUUUUCCCAACAAUCUCCCACUAGCUCUCAAAGCAUAUUUGGCAUCUCACGCAUGCCCAUGGAUUCUAAGUGCAAGUUAAAAGGUUUCCUAGGUAUGGCCUUAGUAAAAGGAUCUGCCAAGUUUUGCUGUGACGCAAUCUGAGUAACCUCCACAUCACCUCUCUGCACUAUUUCCCUUAUAAGAUGAUACUUCCUCUCAAUAUGUUUUUGGUUCUUGUGGUUCAUUGGUUCAUUAAAUUGGGCUACCACACCACUAUUAUCGCAAAAUAGUUUAAGGGGUGCAGUUACAACAUGUACCACCUCAAGAUCUUGUAGGAACUUGUAGGAACUUGUAGAGCCAUACAGUUUCUUUUGCAGCUUCGGAUGCAGCCACAUAUUCAGCUUUAGUUGUGGAGUCUGCAAUACAAGAUUUUUUCACACUCCCUGAACUAAUAACUCCACUUCCAAAUGUAAACACAUAGCCGGAAGUUGAUUUUCUGGAAUCCUUAUCUGACAUAAAGUCAGAAUCAAUAUAACCCACUGUAAUGAGUUCAUCACCAGAAUACACAAGCAUAUAAUUUUUAGUUCUUUUCAGAUACUUUAUUAUAUGCUUGACCGCAGUCCAGUGUUCAGGUCCAGGAUUAGAUUGAUAUCUACCAACCAUCCCUACCACAAAACAGAUGUCUGGCCUAGUGCAAAGCAUGGGAUACAUGAGACUUCCCACAGCUUCUGCAUAGGGAACUCGUCUCAUUCUCUCUAUCUUUUCAGAUGUUUUAGGUGAUUGAUCCUCAGAUAAUGUUGUUGUGCAAAUUUUAAUGUACUCGCAAGCGCACGAAUCUAUUGUAGUAUAGAUCAAUGGUGACGAGUGUCGAUCCCACGAGGAGGUGAAUUUUAAUUGUGUGUAGAAUUAAUUUUGUAAAUGGGUGGUUGGAUUUAUGGUGGAAUUGAUUUGAAUUAUCCUAAAAUUGGAAUUGAAAUGGCGAGAAUAAAUUCUAAAAUUGGAAUUGCAAUGGCGAGAAUAAAUUGAAGAGAAAUGUAUUGAAAUGACGUACUUGAGUAUCUGGAUCCGUAUCAACAUGCAUCAUGGGCUAAAUAAUCCGUAUUAAUGCCAAUUAAAUCAUGAGGGGGGAAUCCACACCUCAUGAACCACACUCUAAUCAAUAUGGUGCUAAGGGCUUAUCGUGCCAAAUAAUAAUAACCUUAUACUAGAGAGCCGGUGUAACCAAGGCGGUAUCUAGACAAGACUAUUAUUAUUUGUCGACGAGAAGUCAAAACAUCCACAAAAACUAGAGGGGAAAAGAAAAUAAAUUUACCAAAUAAAGCCCAAGACACAUGUUGAGACUUCACCUUCAACCCAAACUUGAAAGGAAAUUAGCUACUCAUAAUUGAACUAGGGGCAAAAUGGAAAUUUAUUAAAAUACGAAGAAAAUACAAGAUGGAAAGGGAAUUACAGAAAAUGGAUCCCAAAAAUGGAUUCAGAGAUAGCAAAUUAGGGGGGGGAGGCCCCCUUUUUAUAGAUACAUGGAGUAAAUCAUGGCCAUCGGAUUAAAAACAGUUUGGACGCUCAGGAUUGCGCCACAUCAUCAGUCAACAGUCCACGGUUUGACCACGCAGAUGAACAGUAACACGGUUUGACCCGGAUGAACAGUAACACGGUUUGGUUGAAAAUAAUCCUAUGUUAUGCAUGCACCGUACGCGAGAUUUUUCGUCCACUAAUAUGCUGCCACGUCACCAUCAACAGUACAUAAGAAUUUUAGCCCAACAGGAUCGUGACACCUCAUCAGUCAAGGCCACAUCAUCGGUCAAUGCCACGUCAUCGAUCCGUCAAUGUGAACAGUAUCGUGAACAGUAACGUAUACAGUACCGUUCUGCUGUACCGUACAUCCGCCUUGUCUGAUCUCUCCUUUAUUGUGAAAUGACUAUAAUGCCCCUAAAAUACAUAAAAUACUUAAUUAAAAUAAAACACAUGUAAUUAAAUCACAAGAAGGUUAAAUACAUAAAAGUAAGGGUUGUUAAUAAGACUUGAAAUGUAAAAUGAUGGUUUUCUCCUUUAUAAAUAUGCAUUUUCUAACACUCAACAAAUGUAAUUCCAUGUUUGAAUGGUAAUAAACCAGUCUUGAAAUUUUCUAUACUAAAUCUAGCCAAUAUCUUAUCGAUAUAGACUGCUUGAGACAAGGCUAAAGUUUUAUUCUUCCGGUCUCGUAGUAACUUGAUACCAAGAAUAUAUCUUGCCUCUCCCAGGUCUUUUAUAUCAAAUUGUUUUGCUAACCAACUCUUUAUUAUAGUCAAUACUCCUAUAUCGUUUCCAAUUAGGAGAAUAUCGUCUACAUAAAGAACUAGGAAGGCUACAUAUUUUCCUUGAAUUUUCUUGUACACACAUGGUUCAUUAAUGUUUUGAAUGAAUCGAAACGAUUUAAUCGCUUGAUCAAAUCUGAUGUUCCAUGACCGGGAUGCUUGCUUCAAUCCAUAAAUGGAUCUUUGCAGCUUAUAUACCAUGUGCUCUUGGCCUUUUUGUAUGAAUCCAUCUGGUUGCGGCAUGUAGAUGUCUUCUUCAAGAUGCCCGUUAAGAAAGGCAGUCUUGAUAUCCAUUUGCCAAAUUUUAUAAUCUAGCACUGCAGCAAUGGAGAGCAGAAUCUUGAUGGAUUUAAGCAUAGCAACCGGAGAAAAGGUUUUCUCAUAAUCGAUUCCCUCUUUCUGAGUAAACCCUUUGGCUACUAAUAUUGCUUUAAAUGUUUUCACAUUUCCGUCUACUCCUCUUUUUCUCUUGUAGAUCCACUUGCACCCUAUAGGUUUUACCCCAUUUGGUGCCUCUACAAGUUUCCAGACUUUAUUGGAGUACAUGGAUUCCAUUUCUUGAUUCAUGGCAAUUUUUCCAAAAUUCAACAUCUCUAUCUAUUAUAGCUUCGUUGUAGCUAGUAGGAUCUUGUACAUGUUCAUCUGAGAUAGUCGUAUAGGUUUCUCCCAAUAACAUGUAUCUCGUAGGUAACCUAGUUACCCUCCCACUACGACAAGGUUCUAAAAGUGAUGGUUGUUCAGGGAUAAUCCUGUAUUGAUCAGCUGGUUGUUGCGGUUCUUUCUGUUCUGUAACAGAUGUUGAAAGCUGAGCAUCAACCUGAUCACCUGACAGUUCUUCAAGUAUUACCUUACUCUUAAGUUUAAAGUUAUUUAUAUAGUCUUCCUUGAGGGAAGUGAAAUGUGUGCUCACGAUCACUUUCGUAUCUUGAGAUCUAUAAAAUAAACCUCCUAUUGUUCCUUUAGGAUACCCCACAAACAUACAAACCUCAGAACGUGAAUCCAUUUUGUCUGUCUUUGGUUUCAGCACAUGUGCUGGUGAUCCCCAAAUAUGGACAUGUCGUAAACUUGGUUUACGACCUGACCAUAAUUCUAUUGGGGUUUUAGGCACUGACUUAGAUGGAACUAAGUUCAAGAGGUAAACUACAGUUUCCAGUGCUAGUCCCCAAAAAGAGAUUAGUAAUGACGAAUAACUAAGCAUAGAUCUCACCAUAUCCAAAAGAGUUCUAUUUCUCCUUUCAGCUACCCCAUUUUGUUGUGGUGUUCUCGGGGCAGUCAACUGUGAUAGAAUCUCAUUUUCAGCCAGAUACUCUUUGAAAUCUCCUGAGAGAAAUUCACCACCUUGAUUAGAUCGAAGUUUCUUAACGUUCUUAUCUAAUUGCUUUUCUGUCUCAGCCCUAUACUCUUUGAAUUUCUCAAGAGCUUCAAACUUGUGACGCAUCAGAUAAACAUAACCGUAUCUUGAGUAAUCAUCAGUGAAAGUGAUGAAAUACUCAUAACCUCCUUGAGCUUGUACAUUGAUUGGUCCACAUACAUCUGUAUGUACCAAUUCAAGUGGUACUGUUGCACGUACUCCUUUGGCCGAGAAUGGCCUUUUGGUCAUUUUUCCUUCUAAACAGGAUUCACAGAGUGGCAAUGAUUCAUUUUUUAAUGGACCCAAGAGCCCAUCUUUGAUCAUUCUCUGUAUCCUAUUUUGGUUUAUAUGACCCAAGCGUAAAUGCCAGAGGUAACAUUGGUUGGAAGAAAUGUUUCUUUUCUUAGAUAAAUGUGUAUGCUCAUCAUUAUUUAUCACUGUGUCAUGCAUAUAAUGGAUCAUUGGACUUAAAUGAUAUAAAUUAUCUUCCAAUGUACCAGAACAAAUAAGUCUCUUAUUAUAAAAAAUAGAAACAGAGGAUCCAAAAUUUACAGUGUACCCUUACUUUGACAAACAAGCUACUGAAAUUAAAUUCCUCUUAAUGUCUGGAACAUAAAGACAAUUAUUCAAAACUAAAGUCUCAUUAUUAAAAGAUAAUAAAACAGAUCCAGUCUUCACUGCUGACACAAAUUGUCAUGUCCCUAACUGUACCUUGACGCUUCCUUCACUUAUUUUCCUGGUUUCCUGAAACCAAUAAAGUGAAUUACAAAUAUGAUUAGUUGCUCCUGAAUCCAACACCCAAGUGUCAAUAGGAUUCUGAACUAAACAGGCCUCAAUUACAAAACGAUUUCCCAUACCUGAUUUCACACUCUUAGGACAAUCUUUUUUCCAGUGACUUUUCUGUUCACACUUGAAGUAUUUGCUUUUCGGCUUGCCACCUUGCUUGGUAGACGGUAUCUUUUUUCCAGCUUUCUUCUUGCCUUUGCCUUUCAGUUUAGGUCUAGAAGAAGAACAUUUUUCAGCAAUAUUUAUGAUUCCCAGAGAUUUCUUAGCACGAUAGAUCUUUUCAGCAGAAUGAAGUUCAUUCAUCAAUUUAGUUAAGGUAAUGUUUCUUUUGUUCAUGUUAUAAUUGACCUUAAACUCCUUGAAUGUUUCUGGCAGAGAUUCUAGCACCAUGUCAAUCUUUGAGUUAUCAUCGAUUUGUGCUCCCUGAAUCUCAGCCUCAUCAAAUAGCCCAUCAUUUUGAGGACAUGAUCAUGAACUCUUGUGCCCUUCCACAUUUUACUGUUCAUAAUUCCUUUCAGCGCUGCUUGUCUCGCGGAGUGAGUACUCUACCCGAACAUCUGUUGGAGACUAUCCAUUAUUUCAGUGGCAGUCUGCAAGUUCUAAUAUUUGGUCUGCAGAAUAUUAGAAAUCGAGGCUAAAAUGUGGCAUUUUGCCAUUUCAUUAGCCUUUUGCCAUUUCUUAUAAAGCCUCCUCUGAUUUGUAUGAGCAUCUUCCGCUGGAACUGGAGGGCACGGCUGGGUUAAGACAUAUUUAUAAUUUUCAGCAGUUAGGAUAAUGAAUAGAUUUCUUUUCGAAUCUAUAUAGUUCUCUCCAGUAAGUUUGUUUUGACUUAGAAUAAUAGUAAGUGAGCUUAGGGAAGACAUUUUCUGAAAAAUAAAACAUUCAUGAAUAAAUAAUUUGAAAUAAUAUUCACAAUAAAUGACAAAAAUGCAUAAAACCAUAAAUGCAUUUUAAUUUAUUGUAACGAUAAUCUAGUACCGCUUUGACAAGCUAUCCAUUGGGGAAGUAGAGUCUACACUUACUAGACCCAAUUACCCAUUGGAUUAUUUACUUUCAUGUAGAGACAUGAUAAAUAAUUAUCGUUAUCCUUUUAGGCCUAAAUUUGUUAACAGUGCUUCGUUGGAAAUGUUAAUAACAAAUUUUAGUUGAAUGUAUAACCAUUGUUUCAAUCUACGUAUUUUUCAUAUCAAUAGUCACCGUUGGGGUGAACAAUCGAUUGAAAAAUAUUUCAAUUUUAUCUUUGAAAAAGUUCAUCAAAUAAAAUAUCUAAUAUAUAUACCCUCCAAAGGGAGCAUCACCGUAUCAUGAAGUCGAGGUAUAUAUAUAAUUUUAUUAUUGAACUAACAAUGGAACCCGUGGAAAAAUUAUCUUGAAUUUUCCCUCUCCCACUUAAUAUUUUAAAAUUAGUUUUUCCUUUUUAAAACAUACAUAUUGUUAAUUGCAUGCUUCCUAUAAUAUUAUCUAGAUGAUAUCCAAUAUUAUUAAGCAUACACAAAUUACAAACAAUAUAACGAGAUUCAUAAUAUAUGAAUAACAUGUAUCAUUAUGCAUAGAGUGACACUACCUAUUCUAUAUGACAUGUAUCAUGGCAUGUUAUCAUCCAAAACAUAACAUAUAGAAAAAUAAUUAAAAAAUCUUAAUUCAUGACUUUCCUAAAAUGAAAAAAAUACAUUAACCUUAAGCCCAAUCUUCAUUGUGCUUCUUGUCAAUGUCCAUCUUCCAUAGGCUUGUCUUUGUUAAUGGACUAGGGGAAAUUGGGUUUUUAAAUUUAUUAUUGGUCCAAUUUUUAUUUUGAAAGGAAAUAAAUAAAUAAUUAAUUUUUUUAUUAAAAUAAAACUUUUAGACCAAAAAUAAAUUUAAUGUGUUCAAUUUUAUCUAUGCAUUUUAAUCCAUUAAACCCAAUUGAAAUUGAGCCUAAAACUAGGAUUCAUUAAGUCCAAAACUAUUUUUUGACUUAAAUGUAAACAAUUAAGACUUUUCUACCCAAAGGAAAAAAUGUGAAACUAUAGGGACCCCAAUGAUAAUAACCAUGAAACCCUAAAAUCAUAUUUUUCUUUUCCUUCUUCCCCAGCAACCACCACCUCAAACAACCAGCUGUUCACAAUUUCCAGCCAUGUCCGAUGCCAAGUUAAACGUUACCGCCGCACUGAAAAGCCACUAAACGAGUCACCCGCCACCGCGCUACACCGGAAGGCCUUUGCUUGCGCAGCUGGUGGGGCUAUUGGUCGCGCGCUGCAGCUGCUGGGUGCGUUACUUGCAGCGCGUGCUGCUGGGCGUGUAGCGUAGCUGCUGACAUGGCCGCACUUUGCUGAAAUUUCCGACCUUCGUUCCUUUGAUCUGUCGUCGCGUGAUUAAUCUCCAGCGAUUUACAAAUUUCCUAGGCCAAUUUUGGCUUACAAAAUUUCUAUAACACUAAAAUAAAUCAAGAAGGAAACAUAGUGAUAAAAGACCACCCCUCUUGUUACAGAUCUAAAGAAAAAAUACAGCGAAAAAUCUAACCAUGAAUUAAGACAAACCAUAAGCAUGCUUUAUUAAUAUAUUAAACAAAUAAUAUAUAUCUGAAUAAACUGUGCCACUCUAAUACAUAAAUAUCAAGAUUGAUUUCAUACAAUAUUCUUAUAUAUUAAUAUGAGAAGGCUCUGAUGCCAAUUAUUGGAAAAAAAUCAGUUUUUUAAAUUAAAACAAAAAUUUCUAGGGUCGAUCUCAUACAAUAUAUAAGAAUUCGUAAUCUAGAAAUCGUACCUUGAAAAUCUGAGAAGAUGAACAAUCUUUGCUUUUUCCACUGAAGUGAAACUAGGCUCCCAAAUCACGAUCCGUCACCACUACGCCUGUUAGAUCACGAUCUGUCACCACCACACUUGUUAGAUCAAGAACUGUCACCAAUGAUCUUCUAAGUUAUGACUCAGAUUUGAUCUACACUUGACGUGUGGAUGCCUUUAUAACCACUAAAGCAACUAGCACAAGAAAACUUUUCUCUCAAAAUUAGAGAGAAAAAUCUUUUUCUCUGAUAUGUAUAAAGUGACUACUCAACCUUAUUUUGGGAGAAAAUAAACCAUUUUAUAUCUCUAUCUAGUGGAAACCCUAGGCUCCAUUUUUUUAAUAUUAUUUUAUUCUAUUAAAUAGAGUUUGAUUUAAAUUAAAAAUAAUAAACCAAAAGUAACGUUACUUCUUUCUUGUCAUAAGAGCCCACCUUGUAAAAUAACACAAGGCCCCUUAGACACAAGUACAUUAUAUGAAGCCUCCCACAAAAUAAUAUAUUUAAGCUUUUAACCCAAAUAGUUAGUUAUCUUACUUAUUAAUCUAGUAGUGGCGCAGUCAAUUAAAUGAGCUAACUCGGGAAUCAUAUGGGAACAUACAAUAGUGGCUACAAUAAUUAAGCAUGUAAUUAAACUAGCCCAAUUAUUUAAUUUCAAAUCUACUCCACUAAAAAUUUGGAAUUGACUUCCAUAAUUGUAUGCUAUCUAGGAUAGUGUUCUCAAAUAAUAAUUCGACCCAUGCCACAUUGAUUUCCUUACUAAACAAUCUUUUGUACCACAUCGCUAAUUAAAUUGAUAUCUCAACUGUUCAAUCAAUUUAAUUACAUCUUGUUCCUUAACACUUAUUGGUUUUAUCUACUGACCAUUUUCAACAUAUUAAUUAUGUUGACACACUCUGGCCAGAGAAUUCUAUGAUCAAGUACUGAAAACCCGUCAAGAGAUGUAUUGUAUAAAUUUUAUAUUGUUAAUUUAUAAUCUCACUGCUCAUAAUUGCUUCCACCAAGAUAUUGGGUAAUCUUGACCAUAAAUGUAUGUCCCGUCCAUUAGUAACUCAAAUGAAAUGACAAUAAAAAAAUAUGAAACUAUAAUUAACUCAAGAUUCAUAUUGCAAUAAAAUCAAUACCUAUGUGAUCCAUUAAUAAGAAGAAUAUUAGUAUAAUAAACGUCUCAAGAAUGGACUCUAGUAUGAAGAAAAGUUCUUCACCACCGCUUGAAGCCAACCGAUCUAUGAAAAGGGCCAAGUUUAAGGAGAAUGGUGUAGAUGGGGAUAACCCACCUCCCGUUUCGUUCAAAGACAAAUUAAUGGAGCAGCGGGCUAUGAAGGAGGAACUAAUGGGCAAGGACGAGGAUAUGGAAUUUGACAUAGGAGACGUCGUCGUCGUCGAAAAGGAAGGGGUUCUGCCAUCCAUAUCUUUUUCUCAGAAGAUCCUCCUCCCACCAAGAUACUGUGUAAUCUUGACCACAGUUGCGUGCUGUGCCCAUUGGUAACUCAAAUGGAAUAACAAUUACAAUCAUGAAAUCAUAACUAACUCAAGAUCAAGAUUACAGUAAAAUCAAUGCCUAUGAGAUUUAAUAAGUCUGACAGUCAUUUCAAGGUUAAUGCCUAUGAUAUUUAAUAAGUUUGACAGUCAUUUCAAGGUUAAUUAAAUCUUAUAUUUGAUCCUGUUCAAUGUAGUCGUACUACAUCAAUAAAUUCAUACAUGAUUAAGACAAAUCCUUCAAUGAAUUCAUUACAGUCUAUACUUAAAUAAAGUGCCCAACUUUAUUUAUAAACUGCGAACUAAAUUUAUUUAAUCAUAAGAUAACUUGUAUUUAUAUCCUCUGUGAAUCUAUUGAGCUACCGCAUUACUAUUAUCGCAAAAUAGUUUAAAGGGUGCAGUUACAACAGGUACCACCUCAAGAUCUUGUAGGAACUUGCAGAGCCAUACAACUUCUUUUGCAGCUUCGGAUGCAGCCACAUAUUUAGCUUCAGUUGUGGAGUCUGCGAUACAAGAUUUUUUCACACUCCUCCAACUAAUAGCUCCACUUCCCAAUGUAAACACAUAGCCGAAAGUUGAUUUUCUGGAAUCCUUAUCUGACAUAAAAUCAGAAUUAGUAUAACCCACUGGAAUGAGUUCAUCAUCAGAAUACAAAAGCAUAUAGUUUUUAGUUCUUUUCAGAUACUUUAUUAUAUGCUUUACCGCAGUCCAGUGUUCAAGUCCAGGAUUAGAUUGAUAUCUACUAACCAUCCCUACCACAAAACAAAUGUCUGGCCUAGUGCAAAGCAUGGGAUACAUGAGACUUCCCACAGCUUCUGCAUAGGGAACUCGUCUCAUUCUCUCUAUCUUUUCAGAUUUUUUAGGUGAUUGAUCCUUAGAGAAUGUAAUUCAAUGUCUGAAUGGUAAUAAACCAGUCUUGGAAUUUUCCAUGCAAAAUCUGGCCAAUAUCUUAUCGAUAUAGACUGCUUAAGACAAUGCUAAAGUUUUAUUCUUCCGGUCUCGUAGUAACUUGAUCCCAAGAAUAUAACUUGCCUCUCCCAGGUCUUUUAUAUCAAAUUGUUUGGCUAACCAACUCUUUAUUGUAGUCAAUACUCCUGUAUCGUUUCCAAUUAGGAGAAUAUCGUCUACAUAAAGAACUAGGAAGGCUAUAUAUUUUCCUUGAAUUUUCUUGUACACACAUGGUUCAUCGAUGUUUUGAAUGAAUCGAAACGAUUUAAUCGCUUGAUCAAAUCUGAUGUACCAUGACCAGGAUGCUUGCUUCAAUCCAUAAAUGGAUCUCUGUAACUUACAUACCAUGUAUUCUUGGCCUUUUUGUAUGAAUCCAUCUGGUUGCUGCAUAUAGAUAAGGCUCUCUGGAUGGAAUGUUUCCCACUUAUCCUUGGCUCGCCGUAUUACGCUAGCCCAAUUUAUUUUGCAAGCUCUCCCUAUUUAUGCAAUGCAGUCAACCGACCUUCCUGCUGGGAUAAAGCUGAAGAUAGACCAAGCAUGCAAGCGUUUCAUAUGGAAUGGUGCUGUAACUUCUCAAAAACUAAGUGUGGUCAGUUGGAAUAAUAUUUGUCAGCCUAAAAUUAAUGGCGGUUUAGGCUUCAAAAGUCUGGAUGGGAUGAAUAAGUCCUUUCUCAUGAAGGUUGGUUGGGGUAUUCUUUUAUCUCCUUCAAGUCUAUGGUCUCAGGUUUUGUCAACUAAAUAUGGGGUGGAUUUAUCUGUCCUUCCUACUGAAUUGCCUUGUAGAAAUGGCUCCAACUUGUGGUAGUCGAUUGGGAAGGUUUGGACUGACGUUCUCUCAGGUGUUGCUUGGAAUAUAGGUGAUGGCACUAAAGUCCAAUUUUGGUUGGACUUUUGGGUGAUAAAAGAAAAACCUCUGAUUUCUGAAGCUCUUUGUCCGAUACCCGAUGACAUAAUCUACAAUGUAGUGGCUAAUUUCAUAGAUAGUAAUAGUAGUUAGAGGUGGGAGCUUUUUCAACGUUAUCUACCUAAUAACAUUAUUCUGCAGAUAGCCUCUUGUGUUCUCCCUUUAGCUCAGUCUGGAAAUGACUGCUUUUAUUGGGUGAACUCUAAAAAUGGAGAUUUUUUCGGUUAAAUCUGCCUACCAUGCCAUUAGUUCCCAUCGGUAUCAAGCGGAAGACAGAAUUUGGAACUUGGUGUGGCAUUGGCAGGGGCCCCAUAAUGUGCGCAUAUUUAUUUGGCUGGUACUCCAUGGACAACUUAAAAUAAAAGUAGAGUUAUUGAGAAGGCAUGUUGUUCAUAGUUGUGAGUGCGAUAGGUGUGGCGCUCCUAUGGAGGACAUCUUGCAUGUGCUACGAGAUUGUAUGGUUGCUAAGAGUUUUUGGAAUCUAGUUAUUCCCAGGGCUCAUCAGCAAGAGUUUUACAAGACAGGGUUGCGAGAAUGCUUUGGGGAAAAUCUCGAAGAUCAAUGGUCCUUCCAUAAAGGUUUGAAAUGGACAUGUUUCUUUGGGGUGGCAAUUUGGCGAUUAUGGUUCUGAAGGAACCAAUUUAUUUUGCAGCACUCCUUUUUGGGUAGAAAUGACAUGUUUCAUGAUGUCUUGGGCAGAGCUGAAGAGAUUCAAAGCUUGUAUAAUUCUACCUUAAUGACUAGUGGAAGAAAGUGUGAGAAAUUGGUUGGGUGGUAUACUCCGAUAUGGCCAUGGUACAAGUUAAACACUGAUGGGGCAUGCAAGCAGUUAGGAGUGUCUUCGGUUGGCAGUUUAAUUCGGGAUCAUAAUGGAAGGUGGGUGAAGGGGUUCGGCAUGAAUAUUGGAUCCUGUUCUGUUGUGACGGCUGAGCUAUGGGGUCUUUUCCAGGGGCUGAUCAUUGCUUGGCAAUUGGGUAUACGCUGGCUUCAAGUGGAGGUGGAUAGCUUAUGUGCGUAUCAGAUGGUUGCCAAUUCUUCUUUUUUGAACUUUGAAUUCUCUCCCCUUAUUUGGUGAGAGCUUAUCAAGCGAGAUUGGACUGUUCGCAUCAAUCAUAUAUACCGGGAAGCCAACUAUGCUGCAAAUCAUAGGGCUAACAUCACUAUUUCUCUCCCAUCGGCUCUUCACAUGUUUCCAAGCCCCCCUAAAAGUAUUAAGCCUCUGCUUUUUCAUGAUAUGUAUGGAGUGUUUGACCCCUGUUUAGCUCAUUCUUAGCUCUUUAAUUGAGAGCCCAUUUCUGCUGUACGGCCACGGCGGAUGUACGGUACAGCAGAUUGAUAUCUACUAACCAUCCCUACCACAAAACACUUAAAAUAAAAGUAGAGUUAUUGAGAAGGCAUGUUGUUCAUAGUUGUGAGUGCGAUAGGUGUGGCGCUCCUAUGGAGGACAUCUUGCAUGUGCUACGAGAUUGUAUGGUUGCUAAGAGUUUUUGGAAUCUAGUUAUUCCCAGGGCUCAUCAGCAAGAGUUUUACAAGACAGGGUUGCGAGAAUGCUUUGGGGAAAAUCUCGAAGAUCAAUGGUCCUUCCAUAAAGGUUUGAAAUGGACAUGUUUCUUUGGGGUGGCAAUUUGGCGAUUAUGGUUCUGAAGGAACCAAUUUAUUUUGCAGCACUCCUUUUUGGGUAGAAAUGACAUGUUUCAUGAUGUCUUGGGCAGAGCUGAAGAGAUUCAAAGCUUGUAUAAUUCUACCUUAAUGACUAGUGGAAGAAAGUGUGAGAAAUUGGUUGGGUGGUAUACUCCGAUAUGGCCAUGGUACAAGUUAAACACUGAUGGGGCAUGCAAGCAGUUAGGAGUGUCUUCGGUUGGCAGUUUAAUUCGGGAUCAUAAUGGAAGGUGGGUGAAGGGGUUCGGCAUGAAUAUUGGAUCCUGUUCUGUUGUGAUGGCUGAGCUAUGGGGUCUUUUCCAGGGGCUGAUCAUUGCUUGGCAAUUGGGUAUACGCUGGCUUCAAGUGGAGGUGGAUAGCUUAUGUGCGUAUCAGAUGGUUGCCAAUUCUUCUUUUUUGAACUUUGAAUUCUCUCCCCUUAUUUGGUGAGAGCUUAUCAAGCGAGAUUGGACUGUUCGCAUCAAUCAUAUAUACCGGGAAGCCAACUAUGCUGCAAAUCAUAGGGCUAACAUCACUAUUUCUCUCCCAUCGGCUCUUCACAUGUUUCCAAGCCCCCCUAAAAGUAUUAAGCCUCUGCUUUUUCAUGAUAUGUAUGGAGUGUUUGACCCCUGUUUAGCUCAUUCUUAGCUCUUUAAUUGAGAGCCCAUUUGUAUUAAAAAAAAAUGAGUUCCUAAUUAUUGGAUUCGCUUAAAUACAGGAGCGCCUAAUUAUUGGAUUAGUGUAUUUUGUCUUCCAUUAUUGUAUUCAUUUCUAGAAACAAAUCUCUAACACUGUCGUUUGUGUCUAUAUAUAUAUAUAUAAAAGGGUAGAGAGCUGCGCUCAAUUUCUAGUCCUCUCAAAAUUUCGCCUCCAGCUACACAUUAGUUAGGAUAUAAAUCGAAAUUCAAAUAUUAAAAUAUUAAAAUCUUUAAUUUUAAUUUAUUUUAUUAUUUCUUUAAUGUUAAUAAGAAAAAACAAAUAAUAAAAAAAAGUUUCAAAAGCACAGCACCAUCAUCACGAUUGACCGAACCUUUGACCAGCCGCUAUGGCUUCAUCGGCGGCUGUUAGUGAUGAUCAACCGCCAUCGGAACCUCCCCAAUUUGCCAGUGACCAGUUCUCUAUCCGGCAGACUCAAACUUAGGCCUACAAACCCAAAACAGCAAAGCAAACUAUCGGCUUUCUUCCUCCAUCAAUUCUGCCGCAGGUGCCACCACUUUAGCUGCAUCUGAAAUCAUUUUCAAUCCUCUGCCACCAUCCCAUGCUCAUCCUAACAUUGCCAUGUUAUCAAAAACAUCACCAACACAGCAAAAUAACAACCCAAACUCACGGUUCUCGCAUCCAAACAGGUCGGCCACCGCUGCAUCCUCUUUAACCACCGCAGACACUGCGAAACUGUCGCUGCUCUCAUCUCAAGUUCUCCCAAAUACUGAUCUGUCACUCCCUAAGUCACACGUCACUGGAUUGACGAAUAACAACAAAAUGAGUCAGCCUUCGAGCUCUCGAUCUACCACCAUAUCUGCUCCGACAGGUUUUCACGGUCAACCUAGUCCUCGAGAACCUUCUCAAGAUGUCCGUGAACAGUCCCAUGGUCACCAGCGAUCUGAAACCAUGACGGCUCCAACUCCUGAAAAUUCCAGCUGCAUUGGUAGUAACUCCAACCUUGUUGCCAUGCUCUUUGCCGCCGCCAUCAUCUACAACACAAAUCCACCAAACACACUUUCAACCAUGAACAACACAGCAACAAUCCUGGAGAAGCAGUCGUUACCUUCACAACUACAAAAGUUACAAAAACCUAACUUGGACCCCAUCCCAUCUACCCAAACCCGAACCCAAGAAACAAAUUUCCAAGCCCAAACCCGUAAUAAACAACCCUUUUCAAUAAUGUCAUCCAAACCAAUCCAUUAAACCCAAACAUAAAACCAAACUCAAACCCAAAAUCGUGAUAAUUCUCCUCCUAAUCCUCAGAAUCGUAAUAUUCACCCACCUGUCAAAAUCUCUUAUGCAAAUGUUACUAACCCUGCAGCUAUACUUAAUCCAAAUGCUCUACUACGGCCUCAAAAAUCUUUCAUUGAUGUAAUUGCUGGCUCCACAACAUCUUCAAUUUCGGUAAAAUCGGUCACAUUGGUACGUGAAGAGCCUACUGUCCAUUUCUCAACUGAGGAGUUGUAGGCUAUGGCCAAACCUUUCAAACUAUCUCUAGUGGGUAACUUCUCUUUUGGGCGGCCUCCUAUGGAUGUUAUCAGAAAAUUCUUUAUCUUCCUUGGAUUAAAAGGGCAUUCCCAGAUAUCUUUAUUAGAUAAUAAACAUGCGUUAAUCAAGCUUGAAUUAGAGGAAGAUUAUUCCCAAAUAUGGAUUCGCCAGACAUGGUAUGUUAAUGGUAGGAGUUUGCAGAUUUUCAAAUGGAUUACAGAUUUUCGGUGCUCUGAGGAGUUCUUAAUUGUGCCAGUAUGGGUAUCCUUUCCCUAUUUGCCUUUUCAUUUUAUUAAUUGUAAACCGACUCUAUUUUCGAUAGCUUCAGCUAUUGGCAAACCUUUGAGAGUUGAAAAUGCAACAACAUCUAUUAAUCGGCCAUCUGUUUCUUGAGUGCUGAUUGAGUAUGAUGUCUCGUGUCCUUUAUUGUCACUAGUAUGGAUUGGUGAGGGUGAUUUCAAGUUUUGGCAGAACGUGAUUUUUGAGCGAAUACCAUCAUAUUGUACUUCGUGUAAGCAUUUAGGUCAUACUUCUCAUACUUGUUAUAUUACUAGUCCCGGGCUUUGUAAACCCCAACAGGGGGAAUUUCAAGGUCGGCAGCCAAGAGAAAAGGGUAAACUUUCUAAUGUAGACAUCCAACCUAGGGUGAAUAGUCCCGAUCGGUAUUUUGUUAUUGUUGAUAAGCGGCCACAAGAACCUAACUUCUCUUCAUCCUCCUAUUUCUUCACAAAUAUUAAAAUCUUUAAUUUUAAUUUAUUUUAUUAUUUCUUUAAUGUUAAUAAGAAAAAACAAAUAAUUAAAAAAAGUUUCAAAAGCACAGCACCAUCAUCACGAUUGACCGAACCUUUGACCAGCCGCUAUGGCUUCAUCGGCGGCUGUUAGUGAUGAUCAACCGCCAUCGGAACCUCCCCAAUUUGCCAGUGACCAGUUCUCUAUCCGGCAGACUCAAACUUAGGCCUACAAACCCAAAACAGCAAAGCAAACUAUCGGCUUUCUUCCUCCAUCAAUUCUGCCGCAGGUGCCACCACUUUAGCUGCAUCUGAAAUCAUUUUCAAUCCUCUGCCACCAUCCCAUGCUCAUCCUAACAUUGCCAUGUUAUCAAAAACAUCACCAACACAGCAAAAUCACAACCCAAACUCACGGUUCUCGCAUCCAAACAGGUCGGCCACCGCUGCAUCCUCUUUAACCACCGCAGACACUGCGAAACUGUCGCUGCUCUCAUCUCAAGUUCUCCCAAAUACUGAUCUGUCACUCCCUAAGUCGCACGUCACUGGAUUGACGAAUAACAACAAAAUGAGUCAGCCUUCGAGCUCUCGAUCUACCACCAUAUCUGCUCCGACAGGUUUUCACGGUCAACCUAGUCCUCGAGAACCUUCUCAAGAUGUCCGUGAACAGUCCCAUGGUCACCAGCGAUCUGAAACCAUGACGGCUCCAACUCCUGAAAAUUCCAGCUGCAUUGGUAGUAACUCCAACCUUGUUGCCAUGCUCUUUGCCGCCGCCAUCAUCUACAACACAAAUCCACCAAACACACUUUCAACCAUGAACAACACAGCAACAAUCCUGGAGAAGCAGUCGUUACCUUCACAACUACAAAAGUUACAAAAACCUAACUUGGACCCCAUCCCAUCUACCCAAACCCGAACCCAAGAAACAAAUUUCCAAGCCCAAACCCGUAAUAAACAACCCUUUUCAAUAAUGUCAUCCAAACCAAUCCAUUAAACCCAAACAUAAAACCAAACUCAAACCCAAAAUCGUGAUAAUUCUCCUCCUAAUCCUCAGAAUCGUAAUAUUCACCCACCUGUCAAAAUCUCUUAUGCAAAUGUUACUAACCCUGCAGCUAUACUUAAUCCAAAUGCUCUACUACGGCCUCAAAAAUCUUUCAUUGAUGUAAUUGCUGGCUCCACAACAUCUUCAAUUUCGGUAAAAUCGGUCACAUUGGUACGUGAAGAGCCUACUGUCCAUUUCUCAACUGAGGAGUUGUAGGCUAUGGCCAAACCUUUCAAACUAUCUCUAGUGGGUAACUUCUCUUUUGGGCGGCCUCCUAUGGAUGUUAUCAGAAAAUUCUUUAUCUUCCUUGGAUUAAAAGGGCAUUCCCAGAUAUCUUUAUUAGAUAAUAAACAUGCGUUAAUCAAGCUUGAAUUAGAGGAAGAUUAUUCCCAAAUAUGGAUUUGCCAGACAUGGUAUGUUAAUGGUAGGAGUUUGCAGAUUUUCAAAUGGAUUACAGAUUUUCGGUGCUCUGAGGAGUUCUUAAUUGUGCCAGUAUGGGUAUCCUUUCCCUAUUUGCCUUUUCAUUUUAUUAAUUGUAAACCGACUCUAUUUUCGAUAGCUUCAGCUAUUGGCAAACCUUUGAGAGUUGAAAAUGCAACAACAUCUAUUAAUCGGCCAUCUGUUUCUUGAGUGCUGAUUGAGUAUGAUGUCUCGUGUCCUUUAUUGUCACUAGUAUGGAUUGGUGAGGGUGAUUUCAAGUUUUGGCAGAACGUGAUUUUUGAGCGAAUACCAUCAUAUUGUACUUCGUGUAAGCAUUUAGGUCAUACUUCUCAUACUUGUUAUAUUACUAGUCCCGGGCUGCGGUCCCCCAGUUUCUGGUGUUGGGUAACGUAGUAAGCCAACAGUAGAAACUUGACAGUUCUUGCUUGCGCGGGAUAGGAAAAAGGCUGCCAAGAGUCGUGUCGCAUUUAAUUGCGGACGAGGUGAUGUGGCAGAAAUCUACCCCUCUAUUUGAAUUUCAAACCAACGGUUACGAGACCCUCGGGAUUUGGUGCUGUUAAAUGCUGGCAACCCAAGAGUACAUUCUCCAUUAGGAAAACCCAAAACCUCUCCAAAGGAAAAUUCGUCAUUUACUCUGUCUCCGUCCCUGUCUUUCCGGCAAAGAAGUUCCGGCAUAAAGGCCUCCAUCCCUGUCCUUCUCCGACUGAACCACUAUUUCAGGUAUUACUUCUAUCUCCUCGGUCUCGGAUAGCUGUAGAUAAUUUCUUUUCUCUUUGCUUGCUUGAGUAGUAGUUGGUGGUGGUGUUCUGGUUAGAGCUUAGGGAAUGUCGAAAGGUAAAGAGAAGGUCAUUGAGGUUGAUGACGAUGAGUUGGACUUCCUGCCUAGUCUGCUCACCGACCCUGCUUUUGACCCCGGGAUUCCCUUAGAACCCAUUAGAUCUAGUGUUGGCACUAGCGCUAGGAGGAUGUCCCUCCAAACAACCUCCUCGAGUGGAAAUAGCGAUGAGGAUGGGUCUUCUGGCUCGGAGAACACCCUGAGUGAGGAUCGAGGAGAUGAUUCUGGUGAGGUGUCCCCAUCAGGAGCGUCGCGACCAGAAGGGCGGAGUACAGUAGGAGGUAGAGCCCCAUCGCGAGAUUACGCUAUUGAUUACAUGACGUGCACGACCACGUUUGACGAGCUCACUAACCUCCGGCUUAGGUAUAGCAUUCCUGGUGAAAUACUUCUUAAGAUCCCAGGAAAGAAGGAUACCCCUAGCCGACCUCCUAGGGGAUAUGUUACCUUAUUUUUGGAGAGUUUUAAGCAUGGGCUGAGGUGUCCCUUGCAACCCUACUUUGCGCGGAUUCUUAACGGGCUAAAUCUAGCUCCUGGUCAGCUGAACCCCAACGGGUGGAGAGUACUCUCUGGUCUAUUCAUAUUGUGGGACAGAUGUUGUCAAAACGAGCCCACGGUCGAUGAGGUGAAACACCUGUACCAGCUAAAGAGCAGCCCCAAAGAUGCCGGCUGGUACUACUUCCAAUCUAGUACCAAGAGCAGGAAACCCAUAACUGAUCUUCCAACUGGUGGUGGUGGGGCUUAGAAGAGAAAAUUCUUUUUUGCUGGGGGUCCUUGGGGUCAGGUUGCACAAAUGGACGGGAAGGAUUAUCGCGUCCCACCUCGUUUCACGGUCCCAAGUUGCCUGCUCGCUUUAGAUGUCUUGUAUCCAUAAUUGUUCUCGCUUUACUGGUUUGUCUCUAACCAAAUGUCUGUUUGUGUUGCAGGUUCGUGGGGUGUUCACUUCCCGCUCAAACCUGACCAGCUCAAACGGGUUGAGGCUGUACUAGCCAAUUCCUGCUCGAGCCGAGAACUGAUAACUACUUACAACUUGCUCGAGUCUCGCUUGGUACUCCCUGGCCAUAAGAUGGAGGACGCUGUGAUUGGGGCUCUGAACAGGAAACGUUCUCGACCUCAAACCACGAAGAGGGACCAGAACAAGGACGCCCCUACUGCAAUGCGGGCCAACAUCGUGCAGCAGGUCUCUCCCUUGAAGACUUUACCUCCUGCUCCUGCCAAAGUCGGGGAAACUAGUGGAGCAGCCACAUAUCCUGCUUCCUCUUCUCCUCCUGUUGGGCCUCGGUCUCGCUUACCUGACAGCCGAGCAGAGCACUUGGUCCCCUAUCUCAAUGAGUUAUCUAAACUUGUGAGCAAGAAGGACCUGGAGGACUUUGAUGGCUGCACCCUGGGCGAGCUGGUGGGGGCCAUGCAGUAUAACACUUUCUAUCUCAGCUGCAUGACCACCUACUAUAAGGCCAAGGUUGGCCGUUAUGACAGGAAGAUGAAGGAGGUCAUUCAGUCGGCGAUGACUAGAGCUGACCAUGCCGAGAAGAAAGCAGGGGAGCUGAAUGUCGAGAACCUGAAGCUGAUAGAGCAAGAAUCUCUUGCUCAAGCAAAAGCCAUUACCCUCGAGAAGGAGCUGACCAAGGUCAAGGAGGAUAUUCAAAGGCAGAAGGCUAUGUAUGAGGCUCAGCUCGAAUCUCUCCGCGAUUCCCACCGAGUUCAGGUCGAGAACUUGGAGAAGGAGGCCGACAACCAAUACGACCAGGGACUUUGGCAUUCCUAUCGUUGCAUCAUAGCCGUCCUCGGGAAGCAGCAUCCAGAUCUGAAGAUGGAUGACCUUGCAGCUGGUGUUGCUCAACAUAUGGACGAGGAGGCGGCCAAGGAAGAUGUCGAAGGGGUGGAGCCAAUCGUGAUUGAGGAGGAAAACUCUCCUCCUCGUGCAAUCCCUGCUAUUGUUGGCGAGGCGAGCACCCCCCCGGACGCAACUGGUGAUACUCCUCUGCACCUGAGGAAGUCCAGCCAACUGAUGCUGCUCGGCUUACUGAUCCGCCCUCUUCUUGAACAUGUUUCUUGUGUUGUAAUGAACAGCUUUGUUGGUUAUUGAUAAAUUAAUGAAAACUGUUUUUGAUUACUUUCUUGCGUUUGUAUUUACAAGUUAUUUUUCCAUUUGAGAGUCUGCUCGCCUUCGCUUGGUCGAGCAGGCUCUGGCUUAGCAUAUGGUCUUUCUACAUGACUUGGGAUUCUGCUCGCCGUCGCGUGGUCGAGCAGAUCCUGGCACGCUUGCCUUCUGUCUCGCCAUAAAACAGGCUUUGAGACUUGGUGAGCCUUUGCAUGCCUUAGGAAAUUUUUCACAGUUUCAAGCGAAUGAAAUUCCUCGACGUUUCAUUGAUGGCAGGAUUCAACUUACAUGAAAUUGUUUGGACAUAAAACAUAAAAGAUAAACGAUAAUGAACACGAGCAGAAAUAGCUUUCAAAUGUGAACAAGUCUUACUGGAAGUAUUUUUGGAGGUGUCCAAGCAAACACAUCUGCAUGAGCCUGUAAGCAUUUCACCAACUCCUGCUUUUGCUCUCCCUUAAGUCUCGACCCGAUUCUAAUUGUCUUUCCCGGAUUCUCUGGUCCCAGGCUUACUGUUUCCAGAUCCUCUACAGGUUCUUGUCUGCCAUUCUUGUUUUCCACUCGGGUAUCGAAGGAUGUUAUCUGCAUUGCUUCCCUUGCUGCCGAGGAGUAGCAGCUUCUUGCGAUCCUCUGGUCUCCUCGUACCACUCCAACUACCCCAUUCACCCGGUACUUCAGAGCCAGAUAAUGGUUGGACAGUACCGCUUUGCUCAUCCUCAGAAAUGGCCGACCUAGGAUCACUUGGUAAGGACCUUCCUCAUCCACUACCACAAAGUCCAGUAUCAUUGUCAUUUCUGUCGGGGAGCCCCCAAUCGUGAUAGGCAGCUCGACCACGCCCAGAGGGACCAGCUUUCCUCCUCCAAACCCCUUCAAGGAGGUAUUGGUGUAAUCCAACUUCAGGUCUGCUAUUCCCAUCUCUUCCAGGGUUGACUUAAAUAANNNNNNNNNNNNNNNNNNNNNNNNNNNNNNNNNNNNNNNNNNNNNNNNNNNNNNNNNNNNNNNNNNNNNNNNNNNNNNNNNNNNNNNNNNNNNNNNNNNNNNNNNNNNNNNNNNNNNNNNNNNNNNNNNNNNNNNNNNNNNNNNNNNNNNNNNNNNNNNNNNNNNNNNNNNNNNNNNNNNNNNNNNNNNNNNNNNNNNNNNNNNNNNNNNNNNNNNNNNNNNNNNNNNNNNNNNNNNNNNNNNNNNNNNNNNNNNNNNNNNNNNNNNNNNNNNNNNNNNNNNNNNNNNNNNNNNNNNNNNNNNNNNNNNNNNNNNNNNNNNNNNNNNNNNNNNNNNNNNNNNNNNNNNNNNNNNNNNNNNNNNNNNNNNNNNNNNNNNNNNNNNNNNNNNNNNNNNNNNNNNNNNNNNNNNNNNNNNNNNNNNNNNNNNNNNNNNNNNNNNNNNNNNNNNNNNNNNNNNNNNNNNNNNNNNNNNNNNNNNNNNNNNNNNNNNNNNNNNNNNNNNNNNNNNNNNNNNNNNNNNNNNNNNNNNNNNNNNNNNNNNNNNNNNNNNNNNNNNNNNNNNNNNNNNNNNNNNNNNNNNNNNNNNNNNNNNNNNNNNNNNNNNNNNNNNNUCGCGUGGUCGAGCAGAUCCUGGCACGCUUGGCUUCUGGUCUCGCCAUAAACAGACUUUGAGACUUGACGAGCCUUUGCAUGCCUUCGUAAAUUUUCACAGUUUCCAGUGAAUGAAAUUCCUCGACGUUUCAUUAAUUGCAUGAUUCAACUUACAUGAAAUUGUGUUGACAUAAAAUAAAUAACCACAAAUAGGAACAGAAAUAACUUGAAAACAUGGACAAUUCUUACUGGAAAUAUUUCCUGAGGUGUGCUGCGUUCCAUGGGCGUUUCACCUCGUGGCCAUCCGUUCGAACAAGCUUGUAAGCUCCGGGUCUAGUCUUUCGUGUUCUGAUUCACUCUCCUUAACACCCAAUUUCCAACCUUCAACUGCCGUACAUUCACCUUCUGGUUAUAAUACCGAGCAACCCUCUACUGGUAAAUAGCUGAUCGUUCGGCUGCUUGCUCCCUCUUUUCCGUUAGCAGAUCUAGAUUCAAACACAUCUGCAUGAGCCUGUAAGCAUUUCACCAACUCCUGCUUCUACUCUUCCUUAAGUCUCGACCCGAUUUUGAUCGUUUUUCCCAGAUUCUCUGGUCCCAGGCUUACUGUCUCCAGCUCCUCUACAAGUUCUUGUCUGCCGUUCCUGUUUUCCACUCGGGUAUCAAGGGAUGUUAUCUGCAUUGCUUCCCUUGCUGCUGAGGAGUAGCAGCUUCGUGCGAUUCUCUGGUCUCCUCGUACCACUCCAACUAUCUCAUUCACCCGGUACUUGAGAGCCAGAUAAUGGUUGGACAGUACUGCUUUGCUCAUCCUCAGAAAUGGCCGACCUAGGAUCAUCUGGUAAGGACCUUCUUCAUCCACCACCACAAAGUCCAGUAUCAUGGUCCUUUCUGUCGGGGAGCUCCCAAUUGUGAUAGGCAGCUCGACCACGCCCAGAGGGACCAUCUUUCCUCCUCCAAACCCCUUCAAGGAGGUAUUGGUGUACUCCAACUUCCGGUCUGAUAUUCCCAUCUCCUCCAGAGUUGACUUAAAUAACACAUCAACUGAGCUCCCUGUAUCAACCAGUAUCCGGUCAAACUUCUUACUUGCAACAGUAGCCUUGAUGACUAAAGCAUCCUCGUGGGGGUAUAGAAUCCCUUCUUCAUCUUCAUCCGUCCACAUGAUUGGCACUUGCCUGACUCUUGCUCGUUUGGCUGCUGGGGUGUUGAAGAAUACCUCUUUACUAGUCAUGGCGUAUCUAGCAUAAUUCUUCCUCGAUCUGUUGGAAUCUCCGGCCAAUGUUGGGCCCCCAGCUAUCACUCUUACUGCAGGCUGCUCGCGUCUCAAGUUUCUAUCACUCUGCUCCCCUUCACAUGUCGAGGCCACCAUUGGGAAAGUCCCAUUUAUAAACUCGUCCAGGUACCGAUUUCUCACCAAAUCUUCAACCUAGAUCUUGAGAUCUCUGCAUUCUGCAGUGGUAUGGCCAUGAGUGCCAUGGAACUUACAAUAGCGUCCCCUAUCCCUCCUGCUGGGUAGCUUUGUUAUUGGGGCAGGGAGGUACAGCAACCCUCGAUCCUUUAUGGCCUCGUACACCUCGUCCAGGGACAUCUUCAAGGAAGUAUACCGCCCAUAGUCCUGGUUCUGGUCGAUCAGGUGCACUGCCCUUUUUCUACUUGCUCCGUUCUGAGUUGGAGGCGGUGGCAGCACUUCUGGUCUGUUCCCUCUACUACCGUGGGAGUGUUGAUAAAGACCACCAUAUGCCGAGUCAUGCCUUCUCUAAGGCUCCCUAGCUGGGGAACGAGGAGGUUGCGCCCUGCUGCGCUGAUACUGUGGUGGCCUCUGAUGAGGCUAGUAAGCAGUUACCCGACCUCCUGCUCCACUAGCUGAGGCCUGGUGGUCCCUCCUCCUGAUCGGCCCAUUCCCUGGUAAUGCUUUCUUCUCUUUCUUUCCCAACCCUUCUAACUGGUCUGUCUUGAUCCGUGCUGCCUUUUCCUCUUCAAUCUCAAUGUCCCUCUUAGCCUGCUCGUAUGCGGCUGCAUACGUCUGAAUAACUGGGCUUCUCAUAGUGUACCACAGUCUUCCUAUCUUCACCCCUUCUUUCAGUCCCCUUAAUGCCUGAGGAUGGUUGAAGGCUCCCAAAUCAAGGACAGCACGGUAAAACCUCUUGAUGAAUUCCCGAAGUGUUUCUUGUUCCCCAUGCUUCAUGCUUGUCAACUCCAUCAUGUCAUCUUCUGAUGCCAUUGCCCCUCGAAACUGCUCUGCAAAUUCCUAGCACAUCUGUUCGAAUGUUUUAAUGCUCCCCCGAGGGAGUUUCCUGUACCACUCGCGUGCACGUCCCUCAAGGGAUAGUGGGAACACCCUGCACCUUUGGGAUUGAGAUAAUCAUUGUACCCCAGUCAUGUCGUUGAAACGCUCUAUGUGCACCAGCGGGUCAGUUCGUCCCGAAUAUCUAAGGUUUGGGAGGCAGAAAUCUCUCGGAAUAACUGCCCUCAUGAUCUCUGUUGCGAGCGGUGACUCUCCGUCUAGCAUUAUCCUCCAACCAGGAGCUCUGCUCCUUCCUUGCAUGUCAUCAAUUAUCUGCGCUAGUCUGCACACUUCCUCCUCCAGCUGCACUGCACGACCAGGGUCACGGGCUGCAACUUGAUCCCGCUCUUGCACUACAUCAUGCAAGUGUUGCCUCAACUCUGUUUCCUCUGCAUUCGCCACCCCGUCGUCGUCGUCAAAAAUCUGUCUUGCCGGGGAUUGCUCUUCCUCUCUAUGAAAUUCUCCCCGCAGAGGUAUGUUACCUCUCUCACCACCAAAUCUCCCGGUGGUUUGACUUCUCCUCGUACUGUCGGGACCUGGUGCCGCUCCACCACCUCUCACCCUUUCCUCCUGGGUUCCCCUUCGUUCACUCCGCAGCUCAUGUAGGAUGGUUGUCAGGGUCUCCAUCUGCUUUUCCAUCCGUUCCAUCCGGUCGAACAUGGCUUUUUCCUGUGCUUCACUGGCUAUCUCCCUCAGUGUCACGGAAUCAUUAAGCCUCAUAUCACCCCCUUGUGCACUACUUCCUCCUGUCUCCAUUGCUUUUCCACUUGCUUCACGUUCUUAAUUGUGCCAGUAUGGGUAUCCUUUCCCUAUUUGCUGUUGAUGCGAGAUUCUGGUUGUCCUCUUUCUAUGACCAGGGUCUCUGCUCGAUCAACUUCACCAUGAUCAGGAUCUCUCCUCGUAAAGCUUCUUCUCCAGAGGUUCCUGCGUACAACAACAGGUCAGAGUACGCCGGUUGUUUUCCCGGCGCAAACCCUCUGACGCUCAAGUCAGAAAUGAAGGUUCUGGGAAUGUUUGCCACGAAUCUUAUGGCUUCUUUUUAAUCUCAGUUCUUAGAGCUUUCUUUUCUUAGUUCUAAUAGUAAAAAGUCCAACCCUUUUACCUUCGUUGGCUACCUUUUUAUAGGCUUCCUCUGAAUCCCGGUCUUCCGUAGUCCCUAUGGAUGUUAUCAGAAAAUUCUUUAUCUUCCUUGGAUUAAAAGGGCAUUCCCAGAUAUCUUUAUUAGAUAAUAAACAUGCGUUAAUCAAGCUUGAAUUAGAGGAAGAUUAUUCCCAAAUAUGGAUUUGCCAGACAUGGUAUGUUAAUGGUAGGAGUUUGCAGAUUUUCAAAUGGAUUACAGAUUUUCGGUGCUCUGAGGAGUUCUUAAUUGUGCCAGUAUGGGUAUCCUUUCCCUAUUUGCCUUUUCAUUUUAUUAAUUGUAAACCGGCUCUAUUUUCGAUAGCUUCAGCUAUUGGCAAACCUUUGAGAGUUGAAAAUGCAACAACAUCUAUUAAUCGGCCAUCUGUUUCUUGAGUGCUGAUUGAGUAUGAUGUCUCGUGUCCUUUAUUGUCACUAGUAUGGAUUGGUGAGGGUGAUUUCAAGUUUUGGCAGAACGUGAUUUUUGAGCGAAUACCAUCAUAUUGUACUUCGUGUAAGCAUUUAGGUCAUACUUCUGAUACUUGUUAUAUUACUAAUCCCGGGCUUUGUAAACCCCAACAGGGGGAAUUUCAAGGUCGGCAGCCAAGAGAAAAGGGUAAACUUUCUAAUGUAGACAUCCAACCUAGGGUGAAUAGUCCCGAUCAGUAUUUUGUUAUUGUUGAUAAGCGGCCACAAGAACCUAACUUCUCUUCAUCCUCCUAUUUCUUCAUCGAGGCAGCCUGAUCAAUCUCAACUCACAACAGUUAUUAAUGAUUAUGAUAUUUUAGAUGGUCCGAUCAUCAAUCAGAUACCCAUCGAUGAAUCCACUCAGUUACAAAAAGGUUUAAAUGACCACUGUAUGAAUAAUCAAUCAACAGAUCUUGGUGGUGAUAAGAACAAGAUUGGUCUUCUCAUUCGGAUAUAGACGUUGGUCAUGAAGAGCAUGGUGAUGAUGAGGGUCAUUUUUUAACAAAUCUUGAGGAUACCCAUACCCGAGAAUUCUCACCUGUAAGUGGCCAAAAAUCUCAUAAAAAUAGCAAGUGUAUGCUACCUUCCAAAUAUUCCCCUUCCUAAUAAUUAACUCUAUGAUUUGGAAUAUACGGGGCAUUAAUAAGGCCCUCAUAGUCUGCAAGCUGCAAAAGUUGAUUCGGUUGCAUUGACUAUCUUUGAUUUGUAUUUUAGAGCCUUUUAUUUCAGCUGAUCGGUUAGAGGCUACUCAGGUUCGUCUUGGAAUGGAUCAUGCUUUGUCUUUUCAGUUUGGGAAAAUUUGGGUGUUUUGGUCUAUGCUAUUCUCGGUGGAGGUCCUUGAGGAUAUCGGCCAAUUGAUUCGUUGUCAGGUUAGCCAUUAUCUAUUUCCUAAACCUGUUUUUAUUUUUUUAUGUAUAUGCUAGUUGUUUUAUGUUAGUGCGAGAGGAUUUGUGGAAAGCCCUUAUGGCUUUUGCUGAUUGUGAGGACUAUCCUUGGAUUUUGGGGGGAAUUUUAAUAUUGUACAGUCAGCAUAAGAGAUUGCUGGUGGGCAUGCCCAACUUCAGAAGACAAUUGAUGCUUUUAAUUAGCUUUAUUAGAUUUUUGCUUGGAGGAGGAUAUAAGGUUUACUGGUAGUCAAUUCACUUGGACUAAUGGUCACACUUGGAGACGACAGGGUAGUCAGUAAUGCCCAAUGGUCAAAUUAUUUCUUAUUGUUUCGUGUUACACACUUGAAUCGUACGGCUUCAGACCAUUCUCCUUUGCUUUUAUCUUCUAAUAAAAAUGUAGCCAGAGGGCCUUCUAGGUUUAAGUUUCUACAUGCUUGGAUUAAACAUCCUAGCUUUUUGGAUGUUGUCAGGCAACCUUGGAUUGCUCCGGUACUUAGUUCUUGAACGAGAGCUUUUCAACAGAAACUUGUUAGAUUGAAGCUUUACUUGAAAAUUUGGAAUAAGGAUAUAUUCUGUAAUGUCUUUCAUUGGGUCAAGGAGGCGGAAGAGGAUGUUGCUAAGAAAAAGAGGCAAUAUGAUAUUCAUGGUUCUGCUGUAGAUAAAGCUAUUUUUUUGGAGGCUAGAGUUCGGUUGCAACAUGCUCUUCUUUGUGAGGAGAGUUUUUUGCGUCAGCAGUUCAUUGUUCGUUGGGUCUGGGAAGGCAAUGCUAAUACUGGUUUUUUCCAUGCGAUGAUUCAGAAGAAGUGUCAACUUUUUCUUAUCCAUCAGAUUCAGGAUGCUUUUUUUUAAUAGAUUUAUGAGCCAUCAGCCGUUGCUGCUUCUGCAGUUGACUAUUUUUAGGGGUUAUUAACAUGUGGUAUUAGGCAGUUUCAGCCGUCAGACUUUGAAUUUAUUUUGUCUCUAGUGACUGUACAGAAUUAUAUGAAUCUAUGUAAGAAGCCAGAUAUGGAUGAGGUUAGGCAUGUGGUUUUCUCCAUUGAUCUUGACAGUGCUCUGGGUCCUGAUGGGUUCUCCAAUAAAUUUUAUCAGUAUUGUUGGGAUAUUAUUAGCAAUGAUUUAUUGGAGGUUGUCUUUGAUUACUUCAGAGGUUCAACUAUGCCUAAGGGUUUUUAGAGUACAUUACUGAGUCUUCUUCCUAAGAAGUCGUCCCCAGCAUCUUGGGCAUAUUUUAGACCGAUCAGUUUAUGUAAUGUGAGUAACAAGGUUCUAACCAAACUACUUGCGUUGAGAUUGGACCCUUUAUUGCCUCGUCUUAUUUCUCCCUCUCAGAGCGGUUUUGUCCAUAGUAGAGUGAUACACGAUAAUGUGCUUUUGGUUCAGGAGUUGGUCCAUGAUCUCAACCACUGUACUCAAGGAAAUAAUGUGGUGUGAAGCUUGACAUGGCAAAGGCUUAUGAUGGGAUGUCCUGGUAUUUCAUUAUUAAGAUGUUAUGGUGUUUUGGGUUUUCGGAGCAGUGGGUCUCUUUGAUUCGACGAGCCAUCUUUUGUCCUUGGUUCUCAGUGCUGGUGAAUGGAGUUAGCCAUGGUUUUUUUUUUUCCAGUCUAAGGGAGGUCUCAGGCAAGGUAAUCCUCUCUUCCCAUGUUUAUUUAUCAUUGCUACUGAGUUCCUAUCUCGAGGUUUGGACUGUAUAUAUACUCAGUAUCUUUCUGUGCGAUAUUGUUCUACUACACCUAUCUUUGUUUCCUAUUUGAGCUUUGCAAACGAUAUUAUUAUUUUUUUAAAUGAGAGUCGAUCGAGUCUUUGGUGGGUUAUAAAGUUUUUACAUCAUUAUAAGGCGGUUUCGAGGCAAUCAAUUAAUCAAGCCAAAAGCUGUUUUUAUAUUGGAACUUUUGCUUCUGCUUCACGACAAGCUAUUGUCCAUUCGAUCACUGACUUUCAGCGGCUUCAGCUUCCAUUCACUUAUCUUGGGUGCUCGAUCUUUAGAGGGAGUUUUAAGAUUUCUCAUUUUGAUGAUAUGGUCUGAAAAAUUAGGGAUAAAAUCUCGGGAUGGGCCAAUCAGUUGCUUUCUUUUGGUGGAAAGUUAGUGCUUAUUCGACAUGUGCUAUUGUCUAUGCCAUUACACUUGCUUCAUGUUCUUUGCCCACAUGCAGCUGUAGUACAACUCUUAGAGAGAUUCUUUAACUGAUUCUUAUGUGGUGAUUCUGAAUUAAGACGUUAGAUUCAUUGGUGUAAAUGGUCGGCAGUAUGUUAUCUAAUUAAAGAGGGUGGCCUGGGUAUCCAAUCUUUUAAGGAUUUAUCUCAAGCUUUUGAGUAUAAGCUUUGGUGGCAUUUUCAGGAGCAAAAUUCCUUAUGGGCUAAUUUUAUGAGGUCUAAGUAUUGUAGAGCUAUACAUUUGAGUCGGGUUCAAGUUCGUUAUUCCGCCUAUCCUCUUUGGAGAUGACUAUGUUUGGUUCCGUGGGUUAUUGAACCUCAUGUAAGCUGGUUGGUUGGUCAGGGGAGUGUAAUUUUUGGAAUAAUUGCUGGUUGGGCUCCUGCCCUUUGGCCUUUUACAACCCUGCAAUGGCUUCUGGGGUGUCGAUUUUUUUUAUUGGCGGGGCACAGUAUGGGACCGGGGUAAACUCCAAGAUGUGUUACCCUCUUCAAUUGUUGCACAAAUUUUAUUGUUUCCCAUCUUUAGUACAAAACCUGAUACAAUUCGGUGGGCGUUCGGCCAUGAUGGCUUUUUUUAUUUGCGGACAGUGUGGGAGCUUGUGCGUUGCUCUAGGCCAAGAGAUGAGGUUUUUUCGCUUAUAUGCUUAUAGGGCUUUUUUCUAUGGCGACUGUUGCAUGGUUAUUUUGCUACUAAUGACACCUUAUGUUUGAGAGGAUUUUGUAUAGUCUCCCGCUAUAUUUGUGGUAGGGCUGUUGAGACUUCUCGGAAUUUUUUCCUUGAUUGCCCACGGGUUAGGCUAAUUUGGGCUUAUUUUUGGAGAAAUUUAGGUAUGCGACAUGUGGUUUUUUUAACCCCGCAUGCUUUGCUUUGUUAUUGGCCACUGUAUGCACCAACUUGAAGUUAUAUUCGAGUCUUUCUUCCUUACUUUAUUUUAUGGCAAGUUUGGAAAGCUCGCAAUGCUUUUAGGUGUGAUUCGCAGACCUUCUCUGUGGAUGCAAUUAUCCACCAGGUGGGAUUGGACCUUAGGCCUGCUAGCUCCGCAUUGGGAUUUAACCCCUCUCAGCUAUGGGGAGUUUUGGGUUCUUGGAUUAUGGAGGUUUUGUGUGUCAUAAUUCCACCCAAAAGGCCGAUUUGUUUCGUUUCUUAGAUGUGACCACUUCCUGGAGUUGCAAAAUUAAUAGUGGAUGGUUGCUCUAGGGGUAAUCCUAGGAUAGCUGCAGCUGAUGGUAUUCUUUGUAAUCAUCAGGGUGACUUUUUGGCUGCUUUUGGAUCUUUUCUUAGUUGCCAACCGACUCUUUAUGCUAAGCUUAUGGUUGUUUGCAAGCGGUUGGAGCUCGCUACUCAUCUUGGAUACUCAGCACUUGAGGUAGAAUCAGAUUCAGCCAUGGUGGUUUCUUGGAUUCAUUCGCUAGGCCUUGUUCGUUGGGAUUAUGUUUAUUUGUUACGUCGGGUGUGUGCUUUGAUAUCUUCCUCUCAUAUUUUUAUUAGACAUGUGCUUCGGGAGGCUACAUAUGCUACUGAUUUUAUGGCCAAUUGGACUUUCUCUCACCGGGUUAGCCGGCGUUUCUUGUGUGCUCGAGAUCUAACUAUGGGCUUAUCUGGCAUUCUCUAUUUAGAUGCACAAACUUUUCCUCAUAUCCGACGAUAGGAUUGUUGGUAUAUUGUUUCAAUUGAUGAUGUAUUCUUUUCUUUUAUUCUUAUGUAUUUACAUCUAUUUUAAGAGGUUUUGAGUUAUGUUAUCCUCCUUAUAUAAUUACUCCUAUAUUGAUUUAUACGAUAGAUAGGGGUUUUGCCUAACCUCCUACCUCUUUAGUGGUUAUUAAUUUAAAAAAAAAAAUUUCUUUUCAUGAGCCUGACUGUUGACUCUGUGUUAUUAGAAAUUUACAAUGCCUGAUUGUGAGUGCUGCCAAUUAAUCCAAGUGAAAAAGCCACAUGUAUAGCACUGAAUUCUCUGGAAAGCUACUUGUCCAUUUUAGAAGACUUUCUCUAUCCAAUAUCUGAUUCCGGCAACGAUCGAAUUUAUCAGCUUUGUUGUUCCUUCAAUUCAUUUACCUAUGACAAUGUCGUCCUAAUUAAAUUGCCUUAUUCGCAGUCCUAUAAUGAGUAUAAAAUAUAAUUUUAUAUUAUAAAAUUAUGAAAAUAUAAUUUUAAGGAAAAAAGACAUCUACACCUUAUAGUUUGAAGAAAUGAUCAUAUAAACCUUCAAGUUUUCAAUAAAGGAUAUUAAGACCUCCUUUUCACUAAAAUAUAACAAAUAUCUUUUGUAAAUAGUGAAUAAAAAAAUUGACUUUAACAAAUUUUUAAUCAUCUGUAUUUCUAUUAUUUUUAUAUUUCACGAAACUUAUCAAAAUUGUGAUUUGAUUGUUAAUAAUUUGUGUCAUAUUGUGUCAAAGAAGAGAGGCUUCCCGAGCACGGCCGCUACCAACUAGUCUAAUUUUUCAUACGGAAGUUUCUCAUGUGCUACACUAACGUGUAGUGAGGUGGCAGGCUCCUCUGUCGCACCGUGUAAACAUUAACAAACAAUUGUUUAAUCGCAAGUGCUUAAUCACUAGUGUUCCAGAGUUUUCGUGCAAAGCUGCUGAACUCUUUCGUUUUGAAAUUGAUCUCAAGGAAAUGGAGAAAAAUAUCUUUGCCAAGUAUAACUGUAAGCUAGCUUACUCUACAUCUGUAUAUCCAAUGUCUUCUUGCAUUAAUCCCUCAACCUUGUUUACCACUGUAAAUGGUUUCAAAUGUCUUCCUCUUGCAACAAAUAAAGCAGCCAUCAGAAUCAUUGCCAAAAAUAAGCCAGUCCCAUGCCUUGUUAGCGCCAAAUAUUAUAAUUUAACAGGUGACAGGAGAUUAGCAAACUACCAAUCUUCAAUUUGGGACCAUGAUUUUUUGCAGUCAUUGAAUAGCGACUAUACGGUAUUCAUUAUUAUUAUUACAUAUUAAUUUAAUUUGUUCAUUUCAAAUUGGGACCAUGAAUUCUCUGCAAUCGUGUAUAACUAAAAACUAAAAGCUGUGCAUGUACAGGGAGAAAUGUACAAAAGGCGAGCAGAAGAGCUGAAGGGAAAAGUAAAGACAGCGAUUAAGGAUGUAACCGAGCCACGGGGUCAGUUGGAGCUGAUUGACAACUUGCAAAAACUUGGAUUGGCUUACCGUUUUGGCACUGAGAUUAAGAAAAUGUUGCGUAAUUUCUAUAACAAUAAUAAAGAUGAUAAUUGGAGAGAAGAAAAUCUAUAUGCAACAUCCCUUGAAUUUAGACUAUUUAGACAACAAGGCUAUCCUAUUUCUUAAGGUACAUUUCAUUAAUUCGCUUAUUUUGUCUUGCACAAGCACGAUCUGAAUACUUGAAUCGAUCACUCUGUUUUUUUUUUUUUUUUACUUUUUCCCUUUCAAAUGUAAAAGAGUGGACAAAACCCAAAUCAAUUUUUUAACUCUCCAUCCCCUGAGAAUUCGAACUCAUCAAGGCCGCUGGAGACACUUAAAAAUCAUUCUCUAACUAACUUGCAAAUGGAAAAAAUUUUGAUGAAUGUAAUUUGUUUUGGUUGAGUACUCAAGAGGUUUUCAAUGGUUUUACAGACGACAAGGGAGAUUUCAUUUGUGAUGAUUUCAAGGGAAUACUGAGCUUGCAUGAAGCCUCGUAUUACAGCUUAGAAGGAGAAAGCAUCAUGGGGGAGGCCUGACAAUUCACCAGUAAGCAUCUUAAAGAAAUGAUGAUCAUCAGCAACAGCAAGGAAGACGAUGUAUUUGUAGCAGAACAAGCGAAGCGUGCGCUGGAGCUCCCUCUGCAUUGGAAGGUGCCAACGUUGGAGGCAAGGUGGUUCAUACACGUUUAUGAGAAAAGAGAGGACAAGAACCACCUUUUACUUGAGCUCGCUAAGUUGGAGUUUAACACUUUGCAGGCAAUUUACCCGGUGUGUGCUUUGAUAUCUUCCUCUCAUAUUUUUAUUAGACAUGUGCUUCGGGAGGCUACAUAUGCUAUUGAUUUUAUGGCCAAUUGGACUUUCUCUCACUAGGUUAGCCGGCGUUUCUUGUGUGCUCGAGAUCUAACUAUGGGCUUAUCUGGCAUUCUCUAUUUAGAUGCACAAACUUUUCCUCAUAUCCGACGAUAGGAUUGUCGGUAUAUUGUUUCAAUUGAUGAUGUAUUCUUUUCUUUUAUUCUUAUGUAUUUACAUCUAUUUUAAGAGGUUUUGAGUUAUGUUAUCCUCCUUAUAUAAUUACUCCUAUAUUGAUUUAUACGACAGAUAGGGGUUUUGCCUAACCUCCUACCUCUUUAGUGGUUAUUAAUUUAAAAAAAAAAUUCUUUUCAUGAGCCUGACUGUUGACUCUGUGUUAUUAGAAAUUUACAAUGCCUGAUUGUGAGUGCUGCCAAUUAAUCCAAGUGAAAAAGCCACAUGUAUAGCACUGAAUUCUCUGGAAAGCUACUUGUCCAUUUUAGAAGACUUUCUCUAUCCAAUAUCUGAUUCCGGCAACGAUCGAAUUUAUCAGCUUUGUUGUUCCUUCAAUUCAUUUACCUAUGACAAUGUCGUCCUAAUUAAAUUGCCUUAUUCGCAGUCCUAUAAUGAGUAUAAAAUAUAAUUUUAUAUUAUAAAAUUAUGAAAAUAUAAUUUUAAGGAAAAAAGACAUCUACACCUUAUAGUUUGAAGAAAUGAUCAUAUAAACCUUCAAGUUUUCAAUAAAGGAUAUUAAGACCUCCUUUUCACUAAAAUAUAACAAAUAUCUUUUGUAAAUAGUGAAUAAAAAAAUUGACUUUAACAAAUUUUUAAUCAUCUGUAUUUCUAUUAUUUUUAUAUUUCACGAAACUUAUCAAAAUUGUGAUUUGAUUGUUAAUAAUUUGUGUCAUAUUGUGUCAAAGAAGAGAGGCUUCCCGAGCACGGCCGCUACCAACUAGUCUAAUUUUUCAUACGGAAGUUUCUCAUGUGCUACACUAACGUGUAGUGAGGUGGCAGGCUCCUCUGUCGCACCGUGUAAACAUUAACAAACAAUUGUUUAAUCGCAAGUGCUUAAUCACUAGUGUUCCAGAGUUUUCGUGCAAAGCUGCUGAACUCUUUCGUUUUGAAAUUGAUCUCAAGGAAAUGGAGAAAAAUAUCUUUGCCAAGUAUAACUGUAAGCUAGCUUACUCUACAUCUGUAUAUCCAAUGUCUUCUUGCAUUAAUCCCUCAACCUUGUUUACCACUGUAAAUGGUUUCAAAUGUCUUCCUCUUGCAACAAAUAAAGCAGCCAUCAGAAUCAUUGCCAAAAAUAAGCCAGUCCCAUGCCUUGUUAGCGCCAAAUAUUAUAAUUUAACAGGUGACAGGAGAUUAGCAAACUACCAAUCUUCAAUUUGGGACCAUGAUUUUUUGCAGUCAUUGAAUAGCGACUAUACGGUAUUCAUUAUUAUUAUUACAUAUUAAUUUAAUUUGUUCAUUUCAAAUUGGGACCAUGAAUUCUCUGCAAUCGUGUAUAACUAAAAACUAAAAGCUGUGCAUGUACAGGGAGAAAUGUACAAAAGGCGAGCAGAAGAGCUGAAGGGAAAAGUAAAGACAGCGAUUAAGGAUGUAACCGAGCCACGGGGUCAGUUGGAGCUGAUUGACAACUUGCAAAAACUUGGAUUGGCUUACCGUUUUGGCACUGAGAUUAAGAAAAUGUUGCGUAAUUUCUAUAACAAUAAUAAAGAUGAUAAUUGGAGAGAAGAAAAUCUAUAUGCAACAUCCCUUGAAUUUAGACUAUUUAGACAACAAGGCUAUCCUAUUUCUUAAGGUACAUUUCAUUAAUUCGCUUAUUUUGUCUUGCACAAGCACGAUCUGAAUACUUGAAUCGAUCACUCUGUUUUUUUUUUUUUUUUACUUUUUCCCUUUCAAAUGUAAAAGAGUGGACAAAACCCAAAUCAAUUUUUUAACUCUCCAUCCCCUGAGAAUUCGAACUCAUCAAGGCCGCUGGAGACACUUAAAAAUCAUUCUCUAACUAACUUGCAAAUGGAAAAAAUUUUGAUGAAUGUAAUUUGUUUUGGUUGAGUACUCAAGAGGUUUUCAAUGGUUUUACAGACGACAAGGGAGAUUUCAUUUGUGAUGAUUUCAAGGGAAUACUGAGCUUGCAUGAAGCCUCGUAUUACAGCUUAGAAGGAGAAAGCAUCAUGGGGGAGGCCUGACAAUUCACCAGUAAGCAUCUUAAAGAAAUGAUGAUCAUCAGCAACAGCAAGGAAGACGAUGUAUUUGUAGCAGAACAAGCGAAGCGUGCGCUGGAGCUCCCUCUGCAUUGGAAGGUGCCAACGUUGGAGGCAAGGUGGUUCAUACACGUUUAUGAGAAAAGAGAGGACAAGAACCACCUUUUACUUGAGCUCGCUAAGUUGGAGUUUAACACUUUGCAGGCAAUUUACCCGGAAGAACCUAAAGACAUUUCAGGGUAUCCAUGCCUUGAUUGCAUAGCUCAUAUAUGUGUGUGUGUGUGUGUGUGUGUGUAUAGCCACGCACACACACACACAUCAAAGAUUUGAUUUUAUCAUUUACAUAACUUGUACAAUUUAAUCAGAUGUAUAUUAAAUUAUUCUUAGGUGCAAACUCCGCUUUUUACAGUAGUUUAAAUGCAUGUGCUCUACUUUAUAUAGUGCAGACAUUUGCACCAAAGAAUGACUCUCAAGGAAUCUUUGGCAAGAGGAUGACCCUCUCUAUAAAUGUAUUGUAAAGCCACGGGUCAUGCGCUUUAUAAAGUGCUAUUGUCUGCAUUAGAGAAAGACUCUUAAGAAUUCCAGAUUGAAAGCUGACUCUAUACAUAUAGAUAUAUAUAACAUGUAUCGUAAUAUUCGUUUUUAACUUUCCUAUGAAGGUGGUGGAAGGAUACAGGUCUUGGAGAGAGAUUGAGUUUGUGAGGGACAGCUUGGUAGCAUCCUUUUUAUGGAGCAUGGGGAUAGGGUCUGAGCCUCAAUUCGCCUAUUGCAGGAGAAUAGUCACAAUUGCAAUAGCUCUAAUUACAGUGAUUGAUGACAUUCUCAAAAAAUUAAAUCAUUCAAGAACAUUCUCAAAAAUUAAAUCAUUCAUUUGACCAUUGUUGACAAAUGCAGUGUUGUACAUGUCUUUUCAAUGCCAUGCCAAAACAAUGGGGAUUGCUUUUGAAAUUUAAGUUAAAUUUCUUUUUCCUUAAUCUCAAAGAAAAAUAAACUAUUUGAUUCUAGUUAAAAAGCUUUAUUUUCUCCUUAAACUCACAUCUGUUUUAGUUCUGCCUUUAAUUAUUUCUAAUGCCCCCGAGAAAAUCUAACUUCUAUUUUUGUUGGACAUGCUAUGAACUCCCUAGUUACCUUUUCCUACACUUGAAGGCUAGGGAGAAACAUUGUUAUUCCUAUAUUAGAGUUGAGUAGCCUGUAUAAUUUGAUUAGUCCACGUCUGUUUUACUUGAAUCAAGAAUAGAGUGCCUAAUCUGAUCUCUAUAUUUGUUGGCAUUGUUUAUGCGUUGAAGAAUGUUGUAUUGGGGUAUAUUCAUUGUAUUUUGCUAGAUAAAUUUUGUUAGACUUGACUUGAAGUCUGAAAAAUACUUGUGAUGUUUUCUUACCUAAUAGCUUAAGCAUAUGGAUCAAGUGAUUUUACUAACUUGUGUUGCUCUGUCUCAAUUAAUUUUCAACAAGAUAUCUCUUUCAAAUCAAGGUCCUUACCUUACGGCUUAAGCUUUUAGGUUAAGCACAAAUUUUAUUUCCCUUACGCAGAUGGCUAUGCCCAUGGUAUAAUGAUUUCAGCAUUCUGCCGAAGUGGGUGUUUUGAAGAGGCAAAGCAGCUGGCUGGGGAUUUUGAAGCCAAGUAUGACAAAUAUGAUGUUGUUCUGUUAAAUUCAAUGCUUUGUGCCUACUGCAGAACUGGUGAUAUGGAGAGUGUAAUGCAUGUCAUGAGGAAAUUGGAUGAAUUAGCAAUUAGUCCCGAUUACAAUACCUUUCACAUUCUAAUAAAAUAUUUCUGCAAGGAGAAGAUGUAUAUGCUUGCUUAUCGGACAAUGGUGGACAUGCAUAGGAAAGGCCAC